CGCUCUCAAAACCUUUGGCAGUGUCUUCCACAUAAACAAUCUUCCCCUCUUUGAUCUGAGGCAAUACCAUCUCCAGGAACUUCGGGUAGAGAUGAUAGUAAUCGAACACCAAGAAACCUUCCAUUCUAAUCCGCUUCAGGACAAGGUUCAUCAAGUUGUGUACACCUUCGGGCUGCUCGAGAUUGUACUGUGAGAUCAUUCCACAUACCGCGAUUCGGCCAUGAAGUUUCAUGUUGAGCAGCACCGCAUCGAGCAUCUUUCCACCAACAUUUUCAAAGUAGAUAUCGAUACCCUCAGGUAAGCAUCUAAUCAUUUACAACACAAAAAGUCAAAUGGAGUUGGCUUCAGGAAUGGGUACAUAUUUUAUUUGCUUAAUCAUCAUUGUUAUACCAUAGCUCACCUUUUCAGUGCUGCAUCCAGAUCCGGUUCCUCCUUGUAGUUGAAAGCAUCAUCAAAUCUAAACUUGUUCUUCAGCAAAUCGACCUUUUUCGCAAAAUAGCAGCAAAAAGAACUUUUAAUAGAAUGAAAUUCGGAAGAGAACAGUAAGACUGUAGUUAGUGAAAUGAUGAUGAUGGUAUGUAUACAUUCAACAGUGCCAUCACUCUUGAGCAUUCUCAAAUUUAAGAAAGCCAGCACUCAUCAACCGUGAUAUGAUUACCUUCUCUUUGCUACCAGCGCUGCCAACAACAUAACAACCAAACAACUUUGCAAACUGGCCAACGAGCUGACCGACGGCUCCUGAUGCUGCCGAUAUGAAAACAGUCUCUCCUUUCUUAGGAGAGCAUACCUCGAAAAACCCGGCAUAAGCUGUCAUGCCAGGCAUACCUGCCAAGUUUAAAUUUGUAGCAAUUAGACAAGUCACAGGAUUUGCUGAAGCAUACGUGUAGGAGUGGUUAUGCUAUGGGAAAAUCUCAAAUGGUCCGAUUAUUGCCCAAAGGUGAAGCCCGAGAGAAAUGUAUUGACUUCCCAAGGAAAGCUACUAUUUCCCUAGAAAUAACUGAUUUACAUGCUUCUUUCAAAGCAAGAAGACAGCUUUGAAUUAUUGGCCCUGUCAUUCAAACAAUUCAACGAGGCCAGGAGGCUCAUCAACAAUGAAAAUCCCUACAAGUGAUAUCUUAACUAUCUGAUUCACCUUAUUCAUUAACUAUAGAGAGACAUUAAAGUUGAUGAUUAUAGAGCAUACCCAAAAGGCCAGUGUAGUAAGACAGAGGAACAUCAGUGUGUUCAAUCUUAAAGCAAGUCUCUGGUGCAGUAAUUAUACUAUACUCCUCCCAUCCAGUGAAACCCCAAAGCAAGUCGCCUUUCUUGAAGUUUGGAUGCCCAGAUUCCAAAACUCUAGCUACUCCAUAUCCAGUGAUAGGCUGCAUCGAUGUGUUAAAUACUUCAAAUAUAAGUGCAAAUAGUUUAGCAAACAAAAAUAGACAUCGUACUUCCAAGAAGGAAUGAUAAGACAAUUUCAUAAUCAGAUGCGCUACAGUAACUGAGACCCUUUCACUUUAACCUUUUCUCUGAUAUAAAAAAGUUUGCAACUUGUGUUAUAUUGAAGUAAGGUAAGUCAAAAUGCAGCUUUCUUAACACUUAAUAUAGCUUCCAACAAACCUAGAAGAAGAGCGGCAUAAUUUUAAUAUCUCAGCAGGAAUAAAAUUGAAAUCCAAAGUAAUACAUUGGAAUCCUAUGCAAUAUGCUAAAGGAUGCGACCAAAACUCUGCUUAUCCUAGAGUCAUGUUUAUUUUAUAUUUCAAUGAAUACAUCUCAUCGUCCUGUUUCACGUGCACGCUAUCGGUCACCAUUUGUCAUGCUUACACAUGAGUGGGAGUGUUAAGCAACUUGCAUCACUUUACCCUGUGAUUAUGUGGACUUUGUAAUCACAAGACAUGUAAAAUUCCUUUGCCAAAUAGCACAAGUGACGCUCUUUCGACACCCUAAGCUCUUCAAUCAUUUGCCGAAUCUCAUACCGACAUCGCAAACCAUUUCUACACUUUCAAAGCCACCACCAAUUGGCUCACAAAAGAUUUAGCCAUGAUAUUGGGGAAAAAAAAAAGAAUAGACAUACAGCACAGAGUCGCCAAAUCCUUUGAUUCAAAUGAUUGGACAUAAUCAGAACUAAUGCUUGGCAAGUCCUCGUAUAUUAAUUUAGCCAAACCUGAGAUCAUGAUCCAACACUCAGGAAAACUAAUAUAAUAACCGCCGCCUUAAAACAACAUAAGCAAUCCCCAGAGCAAACUGGUCAAAAUUGAAAAGGACAGCAAUAUCAUACUCAAAAAAAUCCACAUCAUCCGACAUCCGGAGCUUAUUUUAUUCACUAAUUUCCCAUUUCAACUACGAGGAAGACGAGUUUGGCUCUCGAGUGGAUGACCCCCUUUUCUCUUUCUAUACUCUUUUGGAGAAAAGACAAAACUUGACACGAAAGGAGUAUUGAGGGGCUUGCUCACCGAACCAGGUUUGAAGGAAUCGACGUAACCCGGGACGUCGAGCUUCUCCAUGCGGUUCCUCAUGUAAGGAUCGCAGGACAAGUAGAGAUUUUUCACGAGGAGGCCGCUCGAGCCCUCCGGGAGGCGCAGCUUCGUGGUCGAUUCCCGCACCUCCAUGUCCGUCUCCUUGGGGAACCCGCUCACGAAGUCCCUGAAUAUCACUUGCUUGUUCCUCACUACCUCCCCAUCCUCACUCGCCAUCGCUCCUCGCUACUCCUUUCGACGAAACUCGAGAUACCCAGAAGAGAUAAGACGAGCGGGCGUGGAGGGUGUGAAUUCAGUACCCUUUUUAUCGACCGGGCCGGGCGCGGAACGCGUGGAGGGGCCUCGCGGGGGCAGAAAAAUGCGACCUUUCGUCUGGCGUUUUUUCGCCUCAGAGACGUACGUAGGAUGGCGUGGCAGCGAGGGCGAGAUGGUUCUGGAGAUGCUCCGCGAGGAAGACGACAACGUACGGGGGUGUUGGCAUCACGCUUUCCUCGUAUGCAUCGGGUCGGUUUUUGGAGCGGAUCGAUCGGUCGGUCAUUCAUGACAACGCCGCUCCCUUGGUUGACUUGGUGGGUCUUCUUUUCGUCGUCCUGUCGAAUAUUGUGGCCGAAAAUGAUCGUGACCCUUCCCACGUUUUCUACAACCCAGAGGAAACGUGAAUGAUUUUCCGAGGGUUAAAAUGAUUAAACUAAGGAAAAAUAUUUUUAAAGAUAAAUGCAUUAAAAGUUCUAAAAUUUAUUACAAAAAUUCAAUCAAGUAUUAAAACUUAUCACAAAAGUUCAAUCAAAUUUUAAAACUUGUCUCGAAAGUACAAUUAAAUUCUAAAAUUUUCAAAAAACGCAAUUAAUAAAAAGAUUUAGAUUGGAUUAAUUUGAUAAAUUUUAGAAUUUGAUUAUAUUUUUUUGAAAGUUUUAUGAUUUAAUUGUAUUUUUGUGACAAGUUUUAUGACUUAAUUAUAUUUUUUUUGGAAAUUUUAGAACUCAAUUACAUUUUCAAUUUUUUUUUAGGAUUUCCAAUAUACUUACCCCGAUAUUUUUUGAAUCACUAUUUUUGGCGAGAUAAAUGGAAUGUAAAAGCAUGCACAAGAAUCGCGGACAGAGUGAUUUCAUGAGCUUGUUGCAUCUCUAAUUCAUUUGAAUAUGUUUCUGCCCUUGCUGGAGUUCGACCCCAAUCGAGGAAAAAAGAGUGUCGUCCUUCCUUUCUAGCGCGCUAGAUUCAUUCCAUUGUUGGGAAACUUCGACCGUUCAAUGUGAACUUUGCCAGCAGGCAGCAGCGCAUUCCUAUGUGCAGGUGUGGGGAAGAGACAAGCGGGGAAGUUUAUGUUGAUUGCGGCUUGAAGUUAAUUCCUAUUGUUUUUUAAAUUCGAUUUAUAAUUGAAUCGCAGUCCAAACGAGGCUCUUGCCAGCGGAAUUGUGGGUGAUGCAAAAAAGGUGAUUAAUUUCGCAGAACACUUCUUUUCCUUGAUGAAGAUGAAGUCCGUGUUGACGCCAGAGAAGUGCUCAUAAUUUUUGACAAUGUAAGUAUCCUCUUGUUGAGUUUGAUCUGCUUUGCCUAGUAAAUGCGCUCAAUUACGUGAAAUUGCGAGAAACACAGAGAGUGUUGAGUGCGGUCAUCCAAAAGAGUUGAGAAUGUGACAAAAUUCCUUUCUUGCGAUUGAUUUUUGUGGGUUCGAGUUUAAUCUAGGACUAGAAGUCACUUACGAAAAAUGGUGAUUGUGCUAUUAUAGUCUUAUCUUGGACUUCUACGAAGUAUGAGUUGGAAAAUUUUACUAGGAGAAAUUACUUUUUAAGGAGUGGCGCUUUAAGAUGCGUGCUUUGCUGGAAACAGAAAGUUUCACUAGAUUAAGAAAACUAAAGGAAAGGCUGACAUAUUGAAAAAGCUAGGGUUAUUAUUCUGCUGGUAAUAGGGGACGACGUUCUGUUUUAAGAGGCAAAUGAGACGAGUGCGGCUGUAAUUUGGAUGAACCUUGAUGCGCUGUAUAUGUGGAAAUCGCUCUCAAAGAAACUUUUCCUGAUACAAUGUUCCUUCACUUUCAACCUGGGAUUGCCUCUAUGAGUUUAAUAGUCAUUUUUGAUCUGAAAAAUGUGGAGGAAGAGGCAUCUGAUCAAUGGCAGGCUAUGGUGCUACUUUGUUCUUUGCCCAGCUCUUACGAGCAUUGUUGUCUGUCAAAUGAGGAGUGAGAGUGAGAGCGCAUCUGUUGAGGAGUUGAAGUCUGCACUAUUGGGGGCGGUGCAGUGUUUAUCGCAACAGCAUUGAGUGCAUUGACUCAGUACAGAUCAGGAUGCAUGACGGGAUCAUCAGAGCUUUGUGAGAUGUUCAAAAUUUCUGGAACUGAGGAAGAAUCUGAUUUCUAUUGGUACGUUGGAUUCUCCAGGUUGUCAGUAAACUUAUCAAAGGUGCAAUCGUGGUCAUGAAGGGCAAGCGAACAAGCGGUCCCCAUUAUCUUCAGGUUAGAUAGACACAUGUUCAGCAACUACAGUUUCAUCCAUGUUGUCAAACUCAAAUUAGACAAGUUUGUGCCACAUGAGACUGGGCACAUAACUAAGAGACGUAUGAACACUAUGAGUGAGCAAAGUCUUUUAUGUGGGUUGAAAACCGAGAAGUAGGACUUUUGCGAAUAUUGCGUGUUUGACAAGCAACACAGAGCGAAGUUCAAGACGGCAGUUCAGACCAAGGAUACAAUGGUUACUUCCAUUCAGACUUGUGGGGACCUUCUCAGGUGCAAUCUAAAGGAGGUGUCAGGCACGUGGUAACCUACUUUAGCCCAGAAGUCUCGCUUUACUCUCUAAAGCAUAUUAAUUGGGCUUUUGUAUGUUUUAAGCAGUUCAAGCUUUUGAUAGACAACAGGUAGAGUUCUGUUCUCAUGAGUUUGACAAGUUAUGUAGAGAAAACAGAACUGACAGGCAUGGCACCGUGCCUGAAACACCAGAGUAAAAAGGAGUUGCAGCAUGAAUGAACAAGACUUUGCUCGAGGGAACCUGAUAUUUGCUGUUGAAGGCUGCAUUGUCACAAGAUUUCUAGGCUGAGGCCGUCAACUUGGCAUAUCACUUGAUUAACAUAUCUCCAGCAUUUGUCGUGUUCCGAAUUCUAGAGGAUGCAUGAACUAAUCAACCUGCUGAUUACUUGAGCCUGAGAGUGUUUGGACGCCCUGCUUAUGUUCAUGCUAGGGAGGCAAAAAGGAGUACAUAUUCCUAGCCUAUGCACCAGAGGUGAAAGUUUAAAGGCUGUGGUGUUCAGACCCUAAAUCACCGAGAUUCAUCAUCAACAGAGAUGUCACCUUCGAUAAAUCAACGAGGCUCCAGAGUAGCAAGGAGACCCAUGCUGUAAAAAGGGAACAUGGAUAUCAAGUAAUGAGUUUGAGAUGAAAGAUUUAGGUUUAGCCAAAAAUAUAGUUGGUAUGCAGUUUGAAAGAGAGAGAAGUCAGGAACGUUUCAGCUAUCACUGGGUGAUUGCAUACGUGAAGUCCGGAGGCAGUUUAGCAUGUGGAACGCCAAGCUAUAAGUGCCCCACUAGUUGCGCAUUUUAAGCUGACUCAUUCACGAGAAACCACAACCACCUGUUUCCCGACAUUGCGACCAGAGAACACCCCGACGAGAGCUGCUGGACUGCUCUCGAGCCCUUCCGCGAUGUCUUCCGUGUACACAAUCUUCCCCUCUUUGAUCUGAGGCAAUACUGUCUCCAGGAACUUCGGGUAGAGAUGUUGGUAAUUGGACACCACAAAACCUUCCAUCCGAACCCGCUUCAGGAUAAGGUUCAUCAAGUUGUGUAUGCCUUCGCGCUGCUGGAGGUUGUACUGUGAGAUCAUUCCGCAUACUGUGAUUCGGCCAUGAAGUUUCAUAUUGAGCAGCACCGCAUCAAGCAUUUUUCCCCCAACAUUUUCGAAGUAGAUAUCGAUCCCCUCAGGGCAGCAUCUAAACAUUUAAGACAAUGGGUACAAAUUUAAUAUCCUGCACACCAAUCAUCGUUAUUGUGUUCCAGGCUCACCUUUUCAGUGCUGCAUCCAGAUCCAGCUCCUCCUUGUAGUUGAAAGCAUCAUCAAAUCCAAAUUUGGUCUUCAGCAAAUCAACCUUUUUCACAAACAUAACAGCAAGAGAGAACUUUAAGUAAGAUGAAAUCCAGAAGAGACUAGAAAGACUGUAUUUUUAGCAAUUAUGUUUAGUGAAAUGAUGAGGGUACACAUUCAACACUGCCAUCAGUCUCUUGAGCAUUCUCAAAUUUGAGACAUACAGCACUCAUAAUAUCUCAAGUGCUUCUUUUAGAUCUAAUUCUAUUUGAGUUGACUACAGGAACAUGCACUCUAUUUCAGACGCUUGUCUAGUCACUCAUCAUGAAACAACAGUGAAAAUUGCAGAUGCCAACCAUGCUUGGUGAACCAUUAACAUCGACACAAUUAUGUGCUUCUUUCAACACUAGACAAAUGUGGGAUGAUUACCUUCUCUUUGCUACCGGUGCUGCCAACAACAUAGCAACCAAACAUCUUUGCGAACUGACCAACAAGCAGACCAACGGCUCCCGCUGCCGCUGAUAUGAAAACUGUCUCUCCUUUCUUAGGAGAGCUUACCUCAAAAAACCCGGCAUAAGCUGUCAUGCCUGGCAUUCCUGGAAAGUAUACAUUUGUUGAAAUUAGACGAGUCACAGAUUUGCUGAAGCAUAAGAGUAGGAGUGUUAUGUUAUAGCAAAAUCUCAAAUGAUCUGAUUAAUUGACCGAAGGUGAUGCCCCUGACAAAUGGAUGAGAAAUAAUCAGUUUACACACUUCUCUCAACACAAAAGAUAGCUUGGCAGGGCUCUAUUGUUGAGACAAUUCAACGAGAGCAUACGGCUUAUUAACCAGGAAGAUCCCUACAAGUAAAAUUCAAAGGAAGCACGCUUUUUCCUUGCAUAGCUAGAGGCUGUCCGUACUUGAGAAUGAAACAGAUAGAACAAAGUAUCUUGGCAAUCCCAUUACCCUCAUUCUUUAACACUGAAAGAGAUAUUACACACGCUUUUUCCUUGCAUAGCUAGAGGCUGUCCGUACUUGAGAAUGAAACAGAUAGAACAAAGUAUCUUGGCAAUCCCAUUACCCUCAUUCUUUAACACUGAAAGAGAUAUUACACUAGAUGAUCAAAGAGCAUACCCAAAAGGCCGGUGUAGUAAGACAGAGGAACAUUGGUGUGUUUGAUCUUAAAGCAAGUCUCUGGCGCAGUAAUUAUACUAUACUCCUCCCAUCCAGUGAUGCCCCAAACCAAGUCACCUUUCUUGAAGUUUGGAUGCCUGGAUUCCAAAACUCUAGCUACUCCAUAUCCAGUAACAGGCUGCAUCAAUGUGUUACAUACUUCAGAAUAUAAGUGCAAAUAGAUUUAGCAAACACGAAUAGACAUUGAACUAACAAAAAGGAAAGAGUUUGUUUCAUUUGAAUUUUACUUGUCGAGUGGACUUGUCACAAAUUUGAGCUUGAUUUAUUCAUGCGAGUUCAUAACUUACUGUUGGGAUCAUGAAUGAGUAAAUGCAGCGAAAGAGGUGAUUGCACUUACAGAACCAAGCUGAGUGAGGUACUUGAUGAUGGUGAGAUUGUAGGGAUCGCAAGCCAGGUACAAGUUUUUCACGAAUAUGGUCCCCAGACCGGAGUUGGCCUUCAAUCGCUCCGAACUCGUCCUCAUUUCCAAGUUGGUCUCUUUCAAGAAACCUCGUACCUGCUCUCUGUAUAUAACCUGUUUGUUGCUCAUCACUUCCACUGAAGCAUCGUUGUUCUCCUUCUCCAUCGCCUUUCUCUCUCUUCUUGGAUUUGAUUGGUUAGAAACAUAGCCGAACAGUGCACUUGUAUUUAUAGGGAGAUGGGUGAUGAGAUAUGCAGACAUUCCUUCCGUGUGCUCGUGUCGUCGGCGUGUAUGUUUGCGUGUGCCUUUGUGUCGUCAGUGGAAGUAUUAUUCCAAUCCCUUGGGAAAAAGAAGUCGAUCAAAGUGGCCAAUUGAAUUCUAAUAAUUAGCUUGACCAAAAACAAAUUCUAAUCAUUAGAAAAUGAUCUGAUUUGCAGUAAAAUUUUAAGAAAUCUUUUAUGUGGUAAGGAAGAAUUUGAAGAGAUAUUUUGUACUAGCAUCACCAAUAGCCACAAAAAAUUCCUUUCUUCAGCACAAGCGCAAAUUGCCAAGCAAAACCCAAAUCUCUCUCACGAAAAUGUGUGGCUGAGGGUUGACCUUCCAUAUUGCAAGGUAAUGGGAUGGUUAGCCAAACAUUUUCCAAUAUAAAAUCCUUCCUUUUGAAGAAUUAAGGUAUGCACAUCACCAGUUUUCCCAUUCCACACAUCCCUGACCUCCCUGACUUGAAUCGAGUGUAAUAAUGUGAGGAUGUAGUGGGGUGGUGAAAAUGGUAAUCAUUGAUUGAAAAAACAAAUGAUGAAUGAAUGAGCUUAUAUGUGUCGGCCUAAAAAUUCUGAUCUAGACUUAUCCAUGAUUGGAAAAGAUUAAAAAAUGCUGUUUAUUUAAAUUGAUCGUGUCUGAACAAGCCUACCUAAACCUAACUGAGCCAAAUCUGAAAAGGAAACGGCUUAAUUAGACUUGCCCAUUUUCCGAUUUAGGCCCAUACAGUCCAUGGUCACUUCAACAACAAAGGUGCGAUAAGGAGUCUUUAUUUUUAGUCGACUUUGGAAUCUACCUCCCUCUUUUAAUAUUCGAAAUUUUGAGAUGUCGUGCCAUGAAAUCUCUCUGCUAUUGGACCGCUCAAAUAUGAUGAUGGAGGCUUGCUUGGCAUCCGUUGCUCUUACUUCACUUCACUAGUAGGCCUCCACAUAAUUUGCAGUAUUCUCGAUAAUUUGCAGUAUUCUCGAUAACUUAAUAAUCUGCUUAUUGAUGUAAUUCUUUAGCUAGUCGUCGCUUUGCAUUUGGAUCGCUAACUUUGGACGCCAAGUAAGCGAAAUCUAUAUAUGUUCCACCAUUCUUAAACUCACAAAUCUAUUUAUUUUAUUUCUUUGAUUGAGUGACGUAAUAUCAGUUAUUUGUUAGACUAAUUUGGUAAUUUUUUCCCUUUAUAUCAUUUGCACUAACGUUUCUUAGAGUGGACAAUGUGACACCAGGUAAAGCAAAAUAAACUAGAGUCAUUCUUAUUCUAAUAUCAAAUUAAAUUCUCUCGCCAAUUUGAAAUUGUUAUUGCUGUUGUACUCGAUGAAUUUUAUUCUUCAUUUUGCUUGUCCCUUUAAUUAAGGCUUACACUAUUUUGAGAAAAGUACACCAAAAAAAUAAUAAUCCUAAUCCUAUGAUAUUGCUACUAAUUUAGUUUUAAACCUUUUAAUUAGAUCAAUUACAUAUUAAUCAUUUUCACAUUAAUACCAAUUCAGUCUAUUCAAUCAAUUUUGGCCGGUUGAUGCUGAUGUGGACGAUGGCCGUCCAGCCAAUGUUAACAUGAUAAUUUUUAAUAAUUUUGUCCUUUUUCUUUUUGUUUUCCUUUUUUUUUCCUCUUCUUUCUCCUUGGAUUCCUUGCAAUGGCCGACGAGGGUCGCCUAGCCUUCGCUGCCUGUUGAUGAGGGUCAUGGCCGUCACCCAGGACUGUGAGCGAGGUGGCUUCAGCCAAAUCUAGUGGAGGCUAGGGCAAGGCUGGUAGCCUCGCUUGUGGCCCUGGGUAAGGCCGAGCGUGGUUCGUGAAGCUCUCAUCCAAUGGUUGACUAGCCGCUGGAGACUUGUCGCCAUUGCUGGAGAAGAAGGGCAAAGGAAAAAGAAAAGGAAAAGGGAAAAGAAAAAAGAAAAAGAAAAGAAAAGAAAAAAAUCAAUAAAAAAUUUCGAAAAAAUAAAAAAAUAUUUAAAAAUUGCCACAACAGUAUUCUUCGUCUACUCGGUAUCUAGUCAGUACCGACUGGCCAAAUUUGGUGGGAUGAACUAAAUUGAUACAAAUGUGAAAAUAUUUAUGAUUAAUUGGUCAAAUUAAAAGGUGUAGGACUGAAUUAGUACAAAUACCACAUGUUUAUGAAUUUUUUUUAGUGCUUUUACCAAUCAUUUCUAUCCCCUUACUAUUUCUUGACACUUUCUUCUACAUUGAAUUGAUUGCAUUAUCCUUAUGGAUCCCACUUUUGAUUUAAGAUUAUUUAUUGCCUAUGAUUUUGUUGGUUUUCUUUUGUUUCAAUUUUUCUAGUGACCGAACUACUCAUUUUCCCACGCCCUGCAAGAGCCGAUGGCAAAAGUCUGAGAGUGAGUGUAGAGUAAGAAUAGAGUAGGACUGACAAAAAAAAAAAAAAACUACUAAUUCUCCUCUCAAAUGGCAUUUAUUUAAGUGAGUUGUGGGGUCCACUCUUGGUUUUAAGAUUAUUGUUUGGCUUCUUUUCUUCUUUUCUUCUUUUUUCCCCCUUUUCUUUCUCCAUUUGUAAUAAAAUUUGGGUACCCCUUUUCCAAAUUUUAUUUGAUGGAUAGCUAAUUAAUUAUUCAACCUAAAAAAAAAAAUAAUUAUUGUGUUAAUGAAUUCAUAUAUUUCUUUUUUUUUUUACUAGAAAAGUAUCGUUUAAUUAUAACUUUAAUAUAUAUAUAUCAUUACAUUAUAAUCCGUGCAUUUUAACUAUACAACUAUAAUUUUAUUUGGUGAAUCUAAUUGUCAAGUUUUUAAUUAUUUAUCAUGUAAUGCAUUAAAUAAAAGCAUGAUCCUAAUCCGUUCUGUUUAUAGCAACAAACUUCAAAAUGAUGGUUAAUCAAAUAAGAUUUGGUCUUUCUUCUCCGACACAAUGUCAAUCACAAUAACUAUAUCCCUUAUCGCAAUAAAAAAGAACAUACUUUUCUCUUUUUGACAUUUCAAUAGAGACAAGAUAACUUAAAGCAAGAAGAUGUUUCCGUUCCGCACUAUACUCAAAAAAUUCUACUGCAUUAAAAAACUUGUUGACACAAUUGAUUACUAUUCUUCAUUCGUAGUUUCGUCAUCGAUAGAUGCAAUUAAGCAAAUUGUCUUCCACAUGCAUUACAAAAAAUAGUGCAAUGAGAGAUGAGUAAAUUGUGUAUAAUGCAUACAUUAACCAUAAUAUCAAAGUCGAAAAAUUCAUGAUUGUGAGGGAUAAUCUAGGGAAAUAAAAUAAAUAAUUUGUUAACAGAACUAACAUUUUUUUACUUCAAAAUAUAAUUAGUUAGGUUACAACAUUGGAGGAUAAGUUCAAAAGAAAACAAACAUGAAGGAAAUGUUAAAAUGUAAUGAGCGUGGAAGAAACAGCUAAGAUGAAAAAAAGAAGUUAUUUGAAAUAGAUGUGGGGCAGCUUUGUCUUUUAAUAAAUUUGAAACCGAAGAAAAAGAAGGAAAAAACACAGGACAUAAUCUUAAAUCAAAAUUACGACCUGUAGUAGAUAGUUUAGUCAAUCAAUGUGACAAGGAUGUCAAGCCAAUAAAGGGUGAAAACAGCAUGAGCCUUAGGCUCCAUUCAUUUUGCGGAAAAUAAUUUCCGAGAAAACAUUUUCCUGAUUUUUCGGCGUUUGUUUCACGGAAAAUGAAUUCCUUUGGAAAAAUGUUUUUCAUGAAAGAAAAAAAGUUUUCUAGAUUAGGAGAAAAUGUUUUCGACUUUUGAAAAGUGGAAAACAUUUUUCUCACUUGAUCUCUCUUAUCGUACACCUCUACAAAUUCUUACUUCCUCCUCCCAUUUCUUCAUUUUCUUUUCUUUUUUUAUUCAAAUUAUGUUUUAAUUUUUUCUUUGUUAAUUCGAAUUAUUUUUAAUUUCCUUUUUCUUUUUUUUUCUUUAAUUUUUCUUUAAUUUGUUUCCUAUCUUCUUCUUUCUUGGAUAAUUGUCGGCCGUUGCCAAGCGAACCUCAAGCUCGUCGAUCUCAAACUCGUGCUUUGCACUCUUAUUUAUCAUUUUCUUUAUUUACUCGACCUUGCAGUUGUACAUUACUCAAGCAAAUGGCUCUACAUGCUUUGCUUCUUUUUUCUUUUGUUUAUUAAAACACAAAAGAUAAAGGGGGAGAACAAGCCAUGGAAGAUUUUAUUAGGGCUGUACAUACUUUGCUUCUUUUCAUUUUUUCUUGUUUUUAAAAUCCACACAAACAGUUUUUAGAGUAGAUGAAUGUUUAGUGAUAAUGAGAGGACAAAUAUAUGAAGCAAGUUUACCUAGAUUUAAAGACAAGUUCAUAUUUGAUGGAUUUAUAGGUCGGUAAGUGAUGCAUGCCUAAGUGGUAAAGUCUUAGAAAAUAUUUUCCUUACCGAAUAUUGAAAAAUUUUUCCAAAACAUUUUCAGGUUGUAACCAAACACCAAAAAAUAUUGUCAUUUUCCUGAAAAAUGACUUAUGGAUUUUUUUUUUCCCGAAAAUGACCUAUUUUCUGCGAAACAAACGGACCCUUAAUUAAUUAAUACAUUCUUUAGGACACUCUUAUCACACAUCUUAAUUAAGCCUUUUCUAAAAUUUGGCAUUCCUUUCAAUCAUUAAAUUAACGUUAUCUUCAAUUAUCUUAUGUUUUCAAUUAACGAAAAUUUAAUUUUAUGUUUUGCAUUAAAAAAUUCUUGUCUUUUUAUCAAAUUUUUGUAUUCUUUUGUUUGGAAGAGUUUAUUUGAGUAAAUAUAUUAUUAGCAUCAUUCAUUUUGUUCGUACUUUUUUUUUCUAUCUCAUUUAAAAUGCUAUACUUGCCAUUUUACUUGAUGGAAAUGCUCUUUUUCGAUGAUGCGAUACGUCUGUGGCGUGUAUGCGAAAUCUCUCAUUCCCUUUCUUCCUCUUCUUCCUUUUCUUCUGUUUUUGCGUGUCUUGGCCUCUUAUAAACUGAAGGCGUCCACCGUUUGAUGUUUUGUUGACUUUUUAACUCUGUUUUUUUUCCUUGCUCGGUUAAACUCCAAAUGUUGCACUAAGUGCACAUCCAUCUAUUUCAAAAAUUUAAUCAAAUAAUUUAUAUUUGUGUGUUCUCGCUGCGUUGAUAUUUCUCUAUGCUUCAUUCGUUAUAAUUAUAUAUUUUUGUCUAAGUGUUUUUCAUUUGUUUAUGAUUAUCAUGAGAAAAAUAUCAAUUUUAUUCCUUUUCAUGUAGUUAUUUUUUAAUAUAUUUAGAGUUAAUACCCUGAAAAAUCCAAAAUUGAUAUACUUAAAUUUUACCUUAAAUUAAUUUUUUGACCACAAAAAAAUCUCAAACUGAUACAUUCGUGACAAAUUUACCAAAAACUAAUUUUUUAAUCACCAAAAACUCUAAAUGUAUAUUCUUGUGAUAAAUUUAUCCUCCAUUAGCUUUUGUCAAAUUUAAACGUUAAAUUUGCCGACAUAGAUGACACAUGGUGAUUUAGUAUGGUGACGUUGAAAGUCCACAUCGAAAUCCAUAGGGUAAAUAUCAUGAAAAAUCUCAAACUGAUACACUUGUGACAAAUUUAAUGAUACUCUCAUGAUAGAUUUAAUGGUACAACUAUGACAAUUUUGGGAUUUCUUGUGGCAUAAAUCCUAUGGAUUUUCAUGUAAACUUGCCAUGUCAUCACAACAUGCCACUAUGUCUCAUCCGCGUUAGCAAAUUUAACGAUAAAAUUUGAUGAAAGUUAUUAGAGGAUAAAUUUAUCACAGAUGUAUCAGUUUGAGGUUUUUGGUGGUGAAAAAAUUAGUUUUGGAUAAAUUUAUCACAAGUUUACUAGUUUGAGGUUUCUAGUGAUAAAAAAAAUUAGUUUGGAGGUAAAUCACCAGUUUGGAGGUUUUUUAGGGUAUUAACUCAUAUAUUUAGUUGUUAAUAUCAUCAAUAGUCAAAUAAUAAAUAUUCAAAUUGCAUUUCAAGAAGUGUUAAAUUAUGUCUCAAGUUUAAGACCGUGCGAGAAAUCUCAAGAAAUCUAUUUUCUUAUUGGGUUAGGAUUCAUCACACGAUGUGGUUUUUUAUUUUUUUUAUUUUUGGUGAAAAGAAAUUUUCAUUCAUUAGUAAAUUGAUACAUGAAAGGAAAUCUCAAAGGUCAUAGUAACAAAACAAACCCAUAGAUCUCCGAAAUAAACAAAAAACCAAAAAUCAAGGCGUUUCGUCAAAGCAUGAUUGAUAGAGAUUAUCACAAGCUUAUCCUUCAAGAACAAAUUUAUAACUGGAUUCAAGCAAAUUACCCAAUCACAUAACACCAUCAAUGAUAAGCACAUGUCGAGAUUUUCAUUUGUGCUUUGCCUUUUGGUGGUGUGGGCCUAAGUUUGGCAUCCCCAACACAAUUAUUAUACAAAGCAACAUAACUAUGUUAAAAAAUCUCAGAUCUGACAUCCGUGAGAGUGAGCCAUGUAGUUAAUGUGAAGUGUCAAAACUUUGAACCAGAACAAAUUUGACACUGAAGUUGCUAUGAACAUCAUUAAAAUUGGAAACGGAAUACUUAUUCAUUAAAACUCAAGAAUCUAUAAUUAGAUCAAAAAGAAAUGCUCUCAGUUAUAAGAUUGGGAGAGCAAAGUUUCCGGAUUUAAAACUUGAUUGGGAGAAUUAAGAAAGAAAUAAAAAGAAAUAAAAGGAAAAUGAACUAAGAGGGGAGGGAGAGAUCCAGGGCAAAUCCCUCCCCUCUAGAAGUGGAGGAGACGAAAAAAGGUUUAGAGAGAGAAUCGGGACCAUGUAGUUUGCUUGACUAUUUUCGGAUGAAGGGGCCACAAGGUAAUUGGCUUAUUCGAUUUUGGUCAAAGAAGAUGUGUGGUGGUUUGACUCCUAUUUGUAGCCACACGAGAGAGAGAGAGAGAGAGAGAGAGAGAGAGAGAGAGAGCCACUACAGGACAAAAUAAGGGCUCACAUGUUCUCUAAUUAUAUAUUUAUUUUGAGGGUGAAAAGGUUUCUGUCAGAGGAGACAAAACAUAGUAAUACAUAUAUAAAUAUAUGUAUUAUAUAUUUCUUUUUCUUGUACUCUUGCCUAUCUUGUCCUUUCCUCGUGAGGAAAGCCCGUCGGUUCUCGAAUAGAAUGCACACUUUGAGCCGCACGAGGGAACUCUCUAAAUAAGGAGCAUAAGACGCACAUGAAUUUUAUACCCAAAUUGUGUUGUGGACUUAUGUGUAAUCUAGGUAGACAAAAUACUGGAGUGCAUCGAUUGCAACUCUGAUUAUCUAAUUAUAAUGAAUUAUUUGUCAUUGGCUCCACUUGUAUAGUAGAAACCAAUCAUUGGAUCAAAUCAUAUAAAUCUAUAAUGUCUUUAAUUGUUCAUUGUUUAUUUUUUUGGUGAUUUCACGGUAAUUUGAAUGGCAUAAUCUUAUCAGUUUCUGCAUUAAUUUUACAAUGGAAAGUUUGGUGCCUAUAAAUUUGAAAGAGACUGCAUGAUCUUUAUACGCGCAAUGCACAUGACAUUUUACUAGUGAUUCAAGAGGGAUAAUUACCAAAAAUGUCUCAAACUUAUCAUUUGGAUGUUAAUUCAGUUAUAAAUUUUUAAUUUAACCAAUGUAAUCCUAAAUCUUUUAACAAUUUUGUUGUAGUCAUUCCGACCAAUUUUUGACCGAUAAUCAUUGACAUGGAUGAUUAAUAACUCUAUUUUAGAUAGAGUAUUUUUACUAAUUUAAGUUUGAUAUUUAUUAAGUUUUGAUGAAUUUUGGGUGAAUUUAUUUGCAACUCAUGUAAUUUUAUUGAAUUUUGUAGGAAACAUGACUUUUGGAUUUAUAAGAAACCAUGCGCAUCAUUUGUAGAAGACAUGAGGAUCGAUGCGUAAUUUUCCCAAGUCAGAGUUGGAUUUGUAGAGCAGUCCCCAAGCCUCAAUAUUUUCCAAAAUAUUUGAAUAUCUCUAAGGAUAUUUGAAUAUCUUUAAGGAUAUCUCUAUAUCUUUAAGAAUAUUUAAAUAUCUUCCAGAAUAUCUUAUCUUGAAGAAAAAGCGAGCCAAGACCAGUGUACUUGACCAUAAUUGAGGAUAGGUUCAAAGAAAAUUAAGGAUACGAAUCUUAAGAAGAAAAACUCCUAAUUUGUUGAGGAAUACUAUUCAAGACCUAAUGAGAGGUUGACUUAGGGUGGAUUUUUAGAAGCUAUAUAAACCCCUCUCAUGCCACAUAUUUUAGUUUCUAGGAGGAGCCUUGAAGCUGCCACUAGAUUUUAGGUUUUCUUAGUUAGUUUUUUAUACUUCUAUUUCAUUAGUGGAAUUUGUGCAUACGAAGGAGAGAAGGAGGAGGCAAACCCGAAUUUAUUUGCGACUCAAACUGGUGAAUUUGUUUCAAUUUAGCAUUAUUUUCUUUUUAAUUUUCAUUGCUAAUUAAUUUUAAUUAUGUUUUGUAUUUCUUUUGUUAGAGCUACAAUGGAUCUUAAUCAUGAUUGAUUGAUUUUCAAGACUUGUUCAUGCAAUAUAAAUGCUUUGAUUGUGGCGUUCUCUAUCAUGAUCUUAAUCCUUUUAGAAGUUUGGGCAACUUUUAAAUGAUUUUUUUUAUGUAUGCAUGAUACCGAGUGGAGAUGGCAUGCAUGAGCACUAGUGACAUCGAAUCAUAAAUUAAAUCUAGCUCAAGGUACACUAGAUUGUUUGUGUGGUUAUGGUGGUAGAUCUAGAUUGGGACUACUUGGAUUAAAUCCAAAAGUUUCCACAAGAAUUUAAUGUUUUUAGGUAGUUUAAAGUCACCUAAGGUUAGUGUGGGUUAACAUACCUUAUUGGGGAUUAUUAGAAUGAGGUUGGCUUGUAAUCUAACUUAGAGAAAUUUCACCAACACAAUUGGAAAUUAAUUUAUUGCAUGACAAAUUGAGAGAAUUGAUUAUGAGUGGUUAAAUGAAGUUGGAUGUUCUAUCACUUUCUAAUCUUGGUUAAAAUCUUGAAAUUUGCCUUGUUAAUUUUCAUUUUACUUUAGAUUAGGUUGAUGUUGCAAUUUUAAUUAGCUUUCAAAUUCUUUAAGUUUUGACUCUUCUAUAAUUAGUCUUUUAAUUGGUUUAAUUCACUUUUUACUUUUUUUUUAAAGCUAAAUCUUUGGAUUGAUCACUUUCGAUAAGUAAACCAUGCUCACUCAUCACUUUGUUACUUGUAGACAUUGUCCACUUACAAUUCACCUAACAAGUUUUUGGCGCCAUUGCCGGGGAUCGAUUUCCAAUUACUAUUGAUAUCGAGAGCGAUUCUUGGUUUAGACAAGCCUUUAUUUUUUUUAAAAAAUUUAUUUCUUUCGUAGGUCAAACUCAACUCUCUAUAAAGGUGGGAGGAGCAUUGCAUCACCCGAAGCCAACAAAUAGAACUUCAAAAGUUUAAUUCCAAGAUUGAAAGAACCUUUUUUAGGAGAAGAAGAAAGCAAGCACAAGUAAGUCUCAUUACAAUGGCUGAAAAUCAAGAAGACGCACCUAGAUGACUUUGAAAAAUAAUGCAACACCAACAAUAAAAAAAAAAAAAAGCAAACAUAUCAAGUUUUACAUUCAAAGUUUUAUUGGUGCCAAUUUCAUGAAAUCCUCAAGGCUUCCGAGCUUGGUAUCUUUCAAUUGGCCAUUGGUAGCUAUUGGUUGCCAUCUCCUCAAGUAGAUUAAAAGCUUCUUCAGCUGACUUGUUUUACAAAGUGCCUCUAGCUGCCACAUUUAGACUAGCUCGAAUGGCGGGAUGUGCUCCAUUAUAAAAUGUGUGCAUUUGCAUCUAAACUAGUAGUCCAUGGUACAUGCAUUUUCUUAGCAGCUCCUUAAACCUCUCCUGUGCUUCAAAAAAGGACUCACCAUCUAUAUGCAUAAAUGUAGUAAUAUUGUUAUACAUUUUGGUAAAUUUAAAGGAGGAAAAUACUUAGGAAUUUUUGAGCCAAGUCUUGCCAAGUGGUAAUAAAACCUCUAAGAAGAGAGGUCAACCAAGUCUUAAAUUUAUCACAAAGAAAAAAUGGGAAGAGUUAUAACUUAAGGGCAUCAUCAGGAAUGCCAUUGAAUUUAAUAGUGUCACAAUUUCAAGGAAUGCUUCUAAGUGUAAAUUUAGAUCAUCAUUAGGUGAUCCACUAAAUUGCCUUGCAUUUUUAAGCAUUUGAAUUAAGGAUGGAUUGAUCUCAAAAUUAUUAGCUUGCAUUGCCGGCCUCCUUAGACUAAAUUGUGCUUCUUGAAUUUUAGUGUUGCAUAAUCUUUCAAAGUCCUCCUUGGAGGCGUGUCUUGUUGAUUUUUAGCCAUUGCAAUGAGGAUUGCUUGUGCUUGCUUUUUUCUUCUCCUAAAAAGGUUCUUUCAAUAGCGGGAUCAAACUCUUCAAGGUCUCCUUGGCUUCGGGUGAUGUGAUGCUCAUCCCACCUUUUAUAGAGAGGUGACUUUGGCAUACAAAAGAAAUAAAUUAAAAACAAAAGAAAGGCAAGUCAAAAUCAAGAAUAGCUCGAUAUCAAUAGUAAUUGGAAAAUUAUCAAAUAAAUCCCUGGCGAUGGCACCAAAAACUUGUCAAGUAAAUUACAAGCACACAAUAUCUACAAGUAAUAAAGUGAUGAGUGAGUAUCGUUCCCACUUGGAUUGUAUUUAAUUAUCCAAUUACUUACCGAAGGUGAUCAAUCCAAAAAUUUAGCUAACCAAGUCAAAAAGGCAAGUAAAAAGUGAACUAAAUCAAUUAAAGGACCAAAAUAUUAAAUAGACAAAACUUAAAGGAUUCAAAAGCUAAUUAAAAUUGCAAAAUAAACCUAAUCUAAAACAAACUAAAAAUCAACAAGGCAAGUUUCAAGAUUUUAACAAAGAUUACAAAGCAUUAGAGCAUCCAACUUCACUUAACUAAUCAUAAUUAAUUUUCUUAACUUGUCCUGCAAUAAAUUAAUUUCCAAUUGUGUUAAUGAAAUUUCCCUAAAUUAGAUUACAAGCCAACCUUAGUCUAACAAUCCCUGAUUAGGUAUGUUAAUCCACACUAGACUUAGGUGAAUUUAAACUAUCUAAAAGCAUUAAGUUCUUUUGGAAAUUCAUGGAUUUAAUAUAAGUAGUCUCGACCUAGAUUUACUACCGCAGCCACACAAACAAUUUAGUGUACCUUGACUUAGAUUUAAUUUAUAGUUCCAUGUUACUAGUGCUCAUGCACGCAAUCUCCACCUGAUAUCAUGCAUACAUCAAAAAUCAUUUAAACGUUAGCCAAAAUUCUAAAAGUAUUAAGAUCAUAAUAGACAACGCCACAAUCAAAAUAAUUAUAUUGCAUGAACAAGUCUUCAAAAUUAAUCAAUCAAUCAUGGUUAAGAUCCAUUGUAGCUCUAACCAAAGAAAUUUAGAAAUAAUUAAAGCUAAACUAAAAACAAAAACUAAAAACUAAAAAGAAAAUGCUAAAUUAAAACAAAUUCACCAAUUUGAGUCACAAAUGGAUUCGGGUUCGCCUCCUCCUUCUCUUGCAAAAAUUCUACUAAUGAAAUAGAAGUAUAAAAGCUAGCUAAGAAAACCUGAAAUUUGGUGGCGACUCCAGGGCUCCUUCAGAAAACUAAAAUAUGCGGCACAAGAGGAUUUUAUAUUGCCUCAAAAAUUUGCCCUAGGUCAGCCUCCCAUUAGGUCUUGAAUAGAACUCCUCAACAAAUCAAGAGUUUUCCUUCUUAAGAUUCAUAUCCUUGAACCUAUUCUUAGUUGUGGUCAAAUACACUGGUCUUGGAUGGCUUUUUUUUUUUUUUUUUUUCAAGAUAAGAUAGUCUUGGGAAGAUAUUGAAAUAUCCUUAGAGAUAUUUAAAUAUUCUCAAAGAUAUACAGAUAUUUAAAUAUUCUAGAAGAUAUUUAAAUAUUCUCAAAGAUAUUUAAAUAUUCUCAAAGAUAUAUAGAUAUCCUUAAAGAUAUUGAAAUAUCGUUAGAGAUAUUCAAAUAUCCUGGAAUAUAUUGAGGUGUAGGGACUGCUCUACAAAUUUAGCACAGACUUGGGAAAAUUACGCAUUGGUCCUCGCAUCUUCUACAAAUGAUAUGCAUGUUCCAUUAUAAAUCUGAAAGUUGUGUUUCUUACAAAAUUCAAUAAAAUUACAUGAGUAGCAAAUAAAUUCACUCAAAAUUCAUCAAAACUUAGUAAAUAUAAAACUUAAAUUAGUAAAAAUACUAUCUAAAAUAGAGUUGUCAAUGAAGACCGUUUUACAUGAUAUAUUCAGGAUUGACAUAGAUUUUUUUUUUUUUUGCUUUUUUUAUUUAUGAUUUUUAAAUAAUUUUUUAAUUUUAUUCUUUUUCUCUUCCAUCAUUGAUUGCCAUGGCCAGUAAUCAGACAUAGGUGAGGGCCAAUGAGGGCAAGUCUCCCCCAAGGCCCAUGAGGCCAGGUCGUCAUUGAGGCUUGACAAUUGGCGAGCAAGAAGAAAUAACAAAAGAAAGAAAAAGGAAAAAGGAAAAAAUAAAAAAAAAAUGCAAAAGUCGACCACAUCAGUGUUGAUUAUGCCACGGAGGAUAGUCAACACUAACAUUAGCGAUUGCCAACCAAAAUUGGCUGGAAGAACUAUAUUAACAAAUUGUUGAAAGAUUUAGGACUAAACUGAUCAAAUUGAAAUACUUAGAAAUAAAUUGGCAUCCAUAUAAUAAAUUUAUGACUAUUUUUUGGAAGUUUGUAUUGAUUAUGGCUCGAAGUUAGUUCUCACUAUUUUGAAAUUCAACCCAUGAAUUGGAAGUAAUCAUGGGCGAUAUUAAGGAAAGCCCAAAUUGGACUCUUGUCAACAAGAUCAUGAGGAAUGCAAAAAAAUGAAAAUUAAAUUCUCAUUUCUCAUUGAAGAUGAACUCUAUGUUGAUGUCAAAAAAGAGCUCAUAGUUUCUCACAUAAAUAUUUUGUUGUUGAAUUUGAUCUAGUGUACAUAGUUUGUGCACUUAACAUGUAUAAAACUUGCAAGAGACGCCGAGUGCGUUGUGAGCCAUAAUCCAAGAGAUUCAAGAGUAUAAGAAAAUUUCUUUCUUGCAAUUGAUUUUAGUGGGUUUUAGUUUAAUUUAGGAUUAGAAAACACUAAUGAGUGAGGGUGAUCAAGUACUUGUCAUAUUAUUUUCCUCUAUUGUAGUGAAAUCAUUUCAUCAAACUCUCCUAUAGGAGUAUGCUCACAUUUAGACCACAUAAAUCCAUUUCUUUUAAUUCUAUUUAUGCAAUUUAUAUUUUACUUAUGGUAUGCGGAUUUCACGGAAAACUUCUUGAUGAAAGAAAACACUUUCGUAAAAAUCAUUUUCUAAGAAAAUGAUUGGUCUUUAGUUGUUUGGUGGUAUUCUUAAAAGUGAGACAUAAAAAGUUUUCCAAUGGUUAAAUCUUACUUUCUUUUCCACAUUGAAGAUAAAGUCCACGUUGACCUAGAGAAUGGCUCAUAAUUUGUUGCAUAUAAAUAUUCCUUUGUCAAGUUUGGCACGGUGUGCAUAGUCAUUACGUUUAGCAUGUGUGCACCUUGUGAGGUACGGAGGCUUCAUUUGGUUGUCCAAAUUUCUAAUCAUGAUAGAAUUAAAUAGGCUAUUUUGCUAUAUUCUAUCAACUAUUUGGUGAUUGCAAUAAUAAAAUCGGAUAUAUUUACAUAAUUGAUUUAUGGGAUUUUUGAUUUAUUUUAGGAUCGAAAAACACAAAUGAGUGAGUUCGAUCGAGCGUUUAUAAUCUUAUCUUCAUCUCUUAUAGUGAAAUCAUUUUGUCAAUCUCUCCCAUAAAAGGAUAUACGCUGUUGAAUCACGUAUAUCUGUUAUUUUCAGAUUUUAUUUUUGCAGUUUAUUUCUUGUUCAAAUCGUUGCAUUUGUUUACGGUUCCAGGACAACCGUAACAAUUUGGUCCAUCAAACCAGUUUUAUGAAAGUGGAUGACAUGGUACAAGACACAUUUACAUCGACAUCUUAGAGAAGCGUAGCGUAGUACCUUGUUCUAGAUACAGUGAACAUAUUUUCCGAAAGCAUAGGAGCUCAUGUGCACCAAAAUGUACGGUAAGUGACUCAAAAGUCCUUUUGAUCAUCCCUAAAGAAAGAAAACAACCCCUCGUGGAAACAUCAGGAAAAAAAAAAGAGACUAUGCCCAUUUAAAUGUACAGAAAGUUGACUCAUUCGCGAGAAACCACGACCACCUGUUUCCCAACAUUGCGACCGGAGAACACCCCGACAAGAGCUGCCGGACUGUUCUCGAGCCCUUCCACGAUGUCUUCCACGGGGACAAUCUUCCCCUCUUUGAUCUGAGGCAAUACCAUCUCCAGGAACUUCGGGUAGAGAUGAUAGUAAUCGGACUCCACGAAACCUUCCAUUCGAACCCGCUUCAGGACUAGGUUUAUCAAGUUGUGUAUGCCUUCGUGCCGCUCGAGGUUGUACUGUGAGACCAUCCCGCAUACCGUGAUUCGGCCAUGAAAUUUCAUGUUGAGCAGCACCGCAUCAAGCAUCUUUCCACCGAAAUUCUCAAAGUAUAUAUCGAUUCCCUUGGGGAAGCAUCUAAACAUUAAAGACAGAAAAAAAGUCAACUCGAGUUGGCUUCGGAAUGGGUACAUACUUAAUUUCCUGUACAUCAGUCAUUUGCUCAAUUAUCGUUACUAUAUUCCUGGUUCACCUUUUCAGUGCUGCAUCCAGAUCCAGCUCCUCCUUGAAGUUAAAAGCAUCAUCGAAUCCAAACUUGUUCUUCAGCAAAUCUACCUUUUUCCCAAACAUAACAAUAAGCGAGAAGUAAAGAAAAAAUCGGGAAGAGACCAUUAAGCAAUUACUUUUCAAGGAAACACUAGACAAAUGUGUGAUGAUUACCCUUUCUUUGCUGCCGGUGCUGCCAACAACAUAACAACCAAACAACUUUGCAAACUGGCCAACAAGCUGACCAACAGCUCCGGAUGCCACUGAUAUGAAAACAUUAUCUCCUUUCUUAGGAGAGCAUACCUCGAAAAACCCGGCAUAAGCCGUCAAGCCUGGCAUACCUGGAAAGUUUAGAUCUAUAUAAAUUAGAUGAGUUUCAAGAUUUGCUGAAGCAUAGGAGGAGUGCAAUUCUAUGGCGAAAUCUCAAACGAUCCGAUUUAACUGACUGAUGUGAUGCCCUGACAAUUGGAUGAGAAAUAAUCAAUUUACACACUUCUUUCAGCACGAAAGACAGCUCUGCAGGGCUCUAUUGUUGAGACAAUUCAACGUGGGAAUACAGCUCAUUGACAAGGAAGAUCCCCACAACUAAAAUUUAAAGGAAGCAAACUUUUUCCUUGCAUAACUGGAGGCUGUCCGUACUUGAGAAUGAAAUAGACAGAACAAAGUAUCUCAACAAAUCGAUUCCCCUCAUUCUUUAACACUGAAAAAGAUAUCGCACCAGAUGAUUAAAGGGUAUACCCAGAAGGCCGGUGUAGUAAGACAGAGGAACAUCAGUGUGUUCGAUCUUAAAGCAAGUCUCCGGUGCAGUAAUUAGAGUAUACUCCUCCCAUCUAGUCAUGCCCCAAACUAAGUCGCCUUUCUUGAAGUUUGGAUGCCCAGAUUCCAAAACUCUAGCUACUCCAUAUCCAGGAACAGGCUGCAUCAUUGUGUUGAAUACUUCAGAAUAUAAUUGCAACUACAUUUAGCAAACACGAAUAGACCUUGAGCUUACAAGAAGGAAGGAAUAUGUUUCCUUUGAAUUUUACUUGAGGAUUGUAAUUGUCACAAAUUUGACUUUGACUUAUGCAUGCGAGUUGGAAACUUACCGUUGGCAUCAUGAGUAUAGUGAAUGUAACGAGAGAGAUGGCAAUACUUACGGAGCCGAGCCGAGUGAAGUACUUAAUGAGGUGUAAAUUGUAGGGUUCGCAAGCCAGGUACAAAUUCUUCACCGCGAUGGUCCCAGAGUCCUUGUCGGCCUUCGGUCUCUCCAAACUCGUCUUCACUUUCAAGUUGGUCUCUUUCAGGGAACCUCGUACCUUCUCUCUGUAAAUCACCUGUCUGUUGCUCAUCACUUCCACCGAAGCAUUAUUGCCGUCCUUCUCCAUUCUCUCUCUAGAGCAGUGUUGUCACCCUCUCUCUCUCUCUCUCUCUCUCUCUCUUCUUGGAUUUUUUUCUUUUUCGGUCGAAAUGUCUUCUUGGAUUUGGUUGGUGAGAAACAUGGCCAAACAGUGCACGUGUACUUAUAGGGGAGAUGGGUGACGAGAUAUGCUUACGUAUGCCUACGUAUGCCAUUGUGUCAUCGGUGGAAUAGUAUACUCCUUGGGGAAAAGAAAAGUGGGUCAAAGUGGCCGAUUGAAUUCUAAUCAUUAUAAAAUUCCCUGAUUUGCAGCAAAGCUUAAAGGAAUCUUUUAAGUCGUUGUACGGAAAUCGAAGAGAAAUCUGAAAGGGUUGUGCUAGUGUCGCCAGUAGCCACGAAGUUUCCUUUGUCCAGCAUAAGCGUGGAAAUUUUCAAACUAGUUGACCAUCCAUUUUCCAAAUUGAUAGGAUGAUUAGCCAAGCAUUUUCCAAUCUAAAAAUCUUAUAAUUUUUAAGUAAGCUCUGCAGAUCGCCAGUUUUCCUUUUCCACACAUUUUUGAUCUCCUCGACUUGAUUCAAGCGCUAUAACGUGUGUAUGCAGUGGGGUGGUGAAAAAUCGUGAUAAUUGAUUUUAAAAACAAAUGAUGAAUGGAUGAGCCUGAUUGCAUCGGCCUAAAAGUUUUGAUCUAGACUUAUAUAAAUUGAUUGUGUCUCAAUGGACCUAUCUAGACCUUGUUGGAGAAAUCUUCGUGAAGUGUUUUGAAGUUGACAAAACGUUUCCAUCAGUCUAGUCUGAAGGUCUGCAGACUCUGUUAGUUAAAGUCUGAAGACUUCCGGACAGCCAGACUCAAGACUCAAAGUCUAUCCUCAUUGACAGUCUCUAAUCCGUUGAAGAAAGGUUAUCCAGAACUGGAUGUUUUGUUCAGGAUUUAACCUUAUCAUCUGGAGAAGAUCUCGUGGUUGGAGAAGACGUAUCAGAAUCCUUUGAUUGAUCAAGAUUGAUUCAAUGACUGAAGAUUCGAUGAUUGUCUAAAUAUUAUUAGAAGGUUCUACUUAUGGAAACCGAGAUCCUGAUUGUAUGAGCGAACAGGAUUGAUGGGCUAUCAACACGUUCCUUUAAUAGCUCGAACAAUCUUCCUAAUUGAUUCCGUCCAACGGGUAGAUUGGAGGAAUUCCUUUGGUAAGUGCCAACGGGUAUGAUGGCAUAAAGGAGUAUAUAAGGAAGACGUUCUUAGUUGUUCGAGGGGUGCGCGAUAGAAGAAUUCCAAAGUCUGAAGCUCCUAUUUGUUUAGAUAAAUCCUUUGAGCGAAUACUUGUAUACAAAAGAGAGUCUAUAUUUGUGAGAGACCUUGAGGAGGUGUGGUAAAACAUCUACACUGUGGAAUCAAGGCAAAGCUGUGCUGUAACUUCUCUUUUGAUCAUAGUGAAAUCCAGCCGGUGAGCUGUCAGUGCGGAAGAGUGGACGUAGGCUUGAAUAAGCCGAACCAUUAUAAAUCCUGUGUUCAAUUUUCUCUUCCUCACUCUCUCUACCUCAAUCGUAUUUCAUUUUGUUAAUUAAGAGAGAAUUUACUUUCUAUCAUAUGUUAAGAAUCGCUUCCGUAUAUCGAUAAAUUGUUUAGGCACCUAUUCACCCCCUCUAGGUACUCAUACUAGCAAUAUCAAUUGGUAUCAGAGCCUGUGUACUUACUUUAUUUGAAGUGUUUUACUUCAUAGUAAAAGAUCCAUGGCUAGUAUGCUAGCACCAGGGCUGAUGGAAGGGCAAAGCAAUACCAGAUCACCCUACUUUGAUGGAAAGGAUUACAACAUCUGGAAGAACAAGAUGAAAGCUUUCCUACGAUCAAAGGAUCCUCUGGAAUGGGACGUUGUAGAAAAAGGAAUUACUCCUACCACUGCAUCAGUCUCUGAAAGAGGAAAAGAAACUGAAGAAACCAGCGGAAUGUCUCAGGAAGAAAUAAUCAAGAGACAGACACUCGAUGCAAAAGCAAUUUACUCCUUAUAUUGUGCUUUAUCACCAACUGAAUAUAAUAGAAUAUCUUAUUGUGGUACAGCAAAAGAAGUUUGGGACAUAUUGCAUAUCACCUAUGAAGGAACAGAUCGAGUGAAGGAAACAAGAAUCAACAUUCUUCUCGGUCAAUACGAAGCCUUCAGAAUGAAACCAGGAGAAUCAAUAUCUGACAUGUUUAGUCGUUUUACAGAUAUUGUGAAUGGUCUUGAAAAUCAAGGUCAACCAACUUCUGAUCCCAUGAAGGUAAACAAGCUACUGCGUGGACUCUCCAGGGAUUGGAAUCACAUAAAGACUUCGAUAAGAGAGACGCAGAGAAUCAUGCCACUAUCUGUCGACGAGCUGAUGGGAACUCUUCAGUCCUAUGAAGUGGAAAGGAUCAAUGAAGAUGAAGAUCCAAAAGGUAAGAAAUCCAUUGCAUUAAAAUCAAAUGAUGAUUCUGAUGAUACAGAUUCUGAAGAUGAUAUGGACGAUGAGGAGCUUGCUCUCAUGAUAAGAAGAUUCAGAAAACUAAAUAGAAAAGGAAGAAGGUUCAACUCAAAGAAACAAAGCUUUCAAAGACAGCAGACCAAGUCUGUUGAUGAUGAGGAACCAAAUAAAGAUGUAGUCUGCUUUGAAUGCAAGAAAAAGGGACACAUCAGACCCAACUGUCCUCUUCUGAAGAAGAAGAGAGGAAAAGCUGAAAAAUUUCGAAAAGCUCUCAAAGCCGAAACCUGGAGUGAUACUGAUUGUGAAGAAAGUGAUAAUGAAUAUGCCAAUCUAUGUCUGAUGGCACAAUCAGACUCAGACUCUGGAUCAGACUGAGGAUCAGACUCAGACAGUGAAUUUGAGGCAAGUGAUUUUAAAAUUCCUGUCAAAGUUUCUAAAUAUAUUGAUGAACUAUGCUUUAGUCUUAAGACUUCUCUCAAAAGAAUUUCCGAACUGAAAAAAGAAAACUCAGCUCUAAAACAAAAGGAAAAUGUUUUAGCAGAAAAAGUUAAAAGUCUAGACUUGUCUGUUUCCAAUCUUAAAGAAAAUGAAGAUAAUCUUUUAAAAGAAAAUGCUUUUUUAAAAACAGACUUAUCAAAUAUAUCAAAGAAAUUUUCUAUAGGGUCUGAAAAACUUGAGAAAAUUCUUUCAGCACAAAGACCUUACUUCAAUAAGUCUGGUCUAGGUAUGACAGAAGAUACAAUUCCCUUGAUUGAUUUUCCUAAAGUAAAAGAAAGAAUUAAGAAAAGACUCUCGAGUGAGGUUUACAAAAAUCACUUCAAGAAAGUUUUUGUAAAACCUGUAGGUAGAAAUGCUCUCAGAUGUUCUAAGUGCAACAGUCCAGAUCACUUUGAAAAAGAGUGUCCUAUGGUAUGGAAACCUGUUAAGAAAGUAUGGGCUAAUACUGUUUAUCCUACUAACACCAAAGGACCCAAGAAAAUUUGGGUACCAAAGAAAGCUUGAGACUUUAUUUUAAAUGCAGGUCUCCGUCAAGAAACAGGUAAAGUGGUAUUUUGACAGUGGAUGCUCAAGACACAUGACAGGAGACUCAAAUUGCUUUAUAAAGAUUGCUCAAGUAAAUGGUGGAAAAGUUUCAUUUGGAGGAAACAGCAAAGGAAGUAUUGUGGGAUUUGGAACCGUGAAAAUUGGAACUCUCACAAUAAGUAAUGUUUCCUUAGUGGAAGGACUCAAUUACAAUCUUCUCAGCAUUAGUCAAUUGUGUGAUACUGGUUUCAAGAUCUUCUUUCAAGAAGGAACAUGUUCUGGAAUCAAUAAAGACUCUACUCAGUCUUUCAUGGGUCGAAGACAUGGAAAUAUCUAUCUUCUGGAUGUGAAACCAAAUGAAUCGAAAUGCCUUAUCUCAAUUCAAGACGAAGCAAGCUUAUGGCACAAAAAGCUUGGUCAUGUCAACAUGAAGCAAUUAGCCAAAAUCUCUUCAAAACAGCUUGUUCGAGGACUACCCAGAUUGCCAUACCAAAAGACUGAUUCAUGCACUCCAUGUAUUAUGGGAAAACAGGUAAGAAAUUCAUUUAAGCAAUAAAUCAUGUCUCUACUAAUCAUGUACUACAGUUGCUGCAUAUGGAUCUCUUCGGACCAACCAGAACACAGAGUAUUGGAGGUAAGAAAUAUUGCCUAGUAAUUGUGGACGAUUACUCCCGUUUUACUUGGGUAUAUUUCCUUGCAAGUAAGUCUGAAACCUUCUCGUAUUUUGAAAAGUUUGCUAAAAAGGUUCAAAAUGAAAAAGGAUGUGUUAUCUCUUGUAUAAGAACAGAUCAUGGAGGUGAAUUUGAAAAUCAAGAUUUUACAAAAUUUUGUGAUGAAUCUGGCUUUAAUCAUGUGUUCUCCUCUCCAUAUACUCCUCAGCAAAAUGGAGUUGUGGAAAGAAAGAACAGAUCUCUUCAGGAAAUGGCUAGAACUCUUUUAAUAGAAAGCAAGAUUUCUUCAUGAUUUUGGGCUGAAGCUGUUUCAACAGCAUGCUAUAUCAUCAAUAGAGUCUUCUUAAGAUCUAUUCUUCAGAAAACCCCUUAUGAGUUAUUCAAAGAAAAGAAGCCUAUUGUUUCAUACUUUCAUGUAUUUGGUUGUAAAUGUUUUAUAUUGAAAAAUGCAAAAGAUCGAGUUGGUAAGUUUGAAGAAAGAUCAGAUGAAGGUAUCUUCUUUGGAUAUUCUACAUCAAGCAAAGCUUACAGAGUCUAUAACAAGAAGAGUCAGUCUGUGGAGGAGUCAAUGAAUGUCAAAUUUCAAGACUCAACGUAAGAUGAACCAAGUCAGACUCAUCAAGAAGAGUCUGAACCUGCCCCAGACCCUCCAAAGUCUACAACUCAAGAAGCAUCUCAGACUCUGGAAAACCAGCAUUAGGUUGUUAGUGAAGAUCCAAAUAAAGAAAGAGAUCAUCAACCAGACAAAUCAACAAGUAACUGGAAGCAUAAGUCCAGUCAUCCCAAAGAUCUUAUAAUUGGCGAAAUUAAUGAAGGAAUUCGCACCAUAUCCAAAAGGCGAGAAGAGUCUAGUGCUGUGGCACUCGUUUCUGAAAUUGAACUAAAGAGCAUAGAAGAAGCUUUAUCUGAUGAAAGCCGGAUUGAAGCUAUGCAAGAAGAGCUCAGACAGUUCAGCAUUAAUGAUGUCUGGGAAUUGACAUCCAAACCAAAAGGUAAAACUGUUAUUGGAGCUAAAUGGGUGUUCAGAAACAAGAUGAACGAGAAAGGAAAAGUCGUACGAAAUAAAGCAAGACUCGUGGCCAAGGGAUAUACGCAAGAAGAAGGAAUAGACUAUGAUGAGACUUACGCUCCAGUGGCAAGGUUAGAAGCUAUUCGACUAUUACUUGUGUUUGCUUGUUAUAAGAAUUUCAGGUUAUUCUAAAUGGACGUCAAAAGCGCAUUCCUAAAUGGAUUUAUCCAUGAGGAAGUUUAUGUGGAACAACCACCAAGGUUUGAAGACCCAAAGAAGCUAGACUCAGUCUUUAGACUGAAAAAGGCUUUGUAUGGUUUAAAGCAAGCACCUCGGGCUUGGUACGACAGAUUAAGUAAGUUUCUAAUACAAAAUGGUUUUGUCAAAGGUAAAGUAGAUACGACUUUAUUUAUCAAGAAGGAAAACAAAAGUUUCUUACUUGUUCAAAUAUAUGUGGAUGAUAUUAUUUUUGGAUCCUCUAAUGAAAGUCUGUGCAAGAAAUUUUCAAAGUCUAUGCAGGAUGAGUUUGAAAUGAGUAUGAUGGGAGAGUUAACAUUCUUUCUUGGUCUUCAAGUAAAACAAUUGAAGGAAGGAACUUUUAUUUAUCAAGAAAAAUAUGUUAAUGAUCUUGUCAAAAGGUUUGGACUGGAAAAGUGCAAAAAGACCGACAUACCAAUGUCAAGUUCUUUAAAGAUAGACAAAGAUGAAGAAGGGAAGAAAGUUGAUCAAAAGCUGUACAGGAGCAUUAUUGGAUCACUUCUUUAUCUUACUGCUUCUAGAUCUGACAUUUUGUUGAGUGUUUGCAUCUGUGCAAGGUUUCAAUCAGAUCCUAGAGAAUCCCAUCUUAGUGCUGCGAAACGCAUCAUUAAAUACGUGGCUUCAUCAUUAAGCAUCGGUCUUUGGUAUCCUAAGAAGGGAGACUUUAAUCUUCUGGGAUAUUCAGACGCAGAUCUGGCCGGUUGCAGAGUUGAUAGAAAGAGCACUUCAGGAACUUGCCAGUUGCUUGGAAGCAGGACAGUGUCUUGGUUUUCAAGGAAACAAAGCACUGUGUCUCUUUCAACAACAGAAGCAGAGUAUGUAGCUCUUGGAAGCUGCUGUUCGCAAAUUCUAUGGAUAAAACAACAGCUAAGAGAUUUUGAAAUUGAAGACUCAUGCACAGAGAUUAAUUGCGACAACACCAGCGCUAUCAACCUCACCAAAAAUCCAAUUCUCCACUCAAGAGCAAAGCAUAUAGAGAUUCGACAUCACUUUAUUAGAGAUCAUGUUCAAAAUGGAGAUGUUUCAAUUCAAUUUGUUGACUCAAAGAAUCAACUGGCUGAUAUACUCACAAAGCCUUUGGAGAAAAAUCAAUUUGAGUCUAUACGGUCCAGACUCAACAUUUUGAGGUAUGAGGAUAUCAAAGUCUAAAGACUUUCAGACUCAGGCUUACAAGACUUUAUCUACAGUCUUGGCUCGACCUUCAGACUGUAAGUCUUUCUCUCUCCAAUCUUAUCUUGAAAAGGUACGAUCAUCAUACUGUGUUUAAAUUGUUGCUAUAUUUAAUUAACGUAAAUAUUGCAUCGAUUCAUUUUCAAAAGGGAAGUUAUUUUUGAAAUAGCUAUUUUUGCGAAUAAAGACAGUUAUUUUGAAAAGGCAUAUUUUUAUUUCCUUUGUGACGGUUCGUUUACUUUUCUUUUUAACCGAUUGUGCACUGUCGAUUCCUCUUCACUUUUCUAUUCACUUUUCUCUCAAAAAAACCCUAGAAAGCAUCGAUCCUCCAUUCCCGUUUGUCUUCUUCGCUCAAUCUUCAAAAAGUUGUCAUCUUUUCUGGGAAAGUCAAGCAAGGAAUCUUCCAAACACUGAGAAAGAUGUCAUCUUCACGAAAGUCCUCAAGAAUCGCAAGCAGGGGACCACAGAGAAUGAGUGAGGGGCCUACGCACUUCGAUCUUACUGAAGAUGAAGUUACUCCAGAUCAGCAACCGAGCCCACAACAUUCUCAGCAGUGUCAUUCUCCACCAUCUAGUCCUCAAGGCGUUGUUCAUCAGCAUCAGGAAGAAAUCAUCGAGGAUGCAGACCCCGUAAGAUUUCAAAAGCCCGCUUUUAUUUACAAGCUAUAUCGUGCCUUAAAAGGAAUUCGUACUCCUUUGAACUAUGUUGAUGAGUUUCUUAGAGACAAAGGAUAUAAGAACGAGUAUAUCUUUCUGCGAAAAAUGGAAAGUUUGGGAAUCGCUCGUAAAGGGGUGGCUGAGGAAACCCUUGCGAAUAUCCCAAGUGAUCCUCGUGACUGGGGACCGAAUCCUGUAGAUGGGAAUGACGAUGACAAUCUGUUCAGUCUAUUUCAACCGAAAAUGGGUAUUGCGGCUGAAAUUCAAGGAAAAAGGGGAGAUUUGUUCAGAUCAAAGGAACAAAAGGAUCUGUACUCGAAAUUGCUGAAGCGUGGGAUAAUAAACCCUAGGAGUGUGGACUUUGAUUUUCUGGAUGCUGUGAAAGUGAACUUAAGGGAAAAGUUCAGUUAUCUUCAACUUGAAAAGUUCUGCUCUGACUCAACUGAGGCUUAUGCUGAAUUGACUGCAUAUUUCUAUUCAAAUCUUAGCUUUUUGGAUGCGAAUAGAUUCUCCUUUAGCGUUAAAGAACAAGACUAUGUUGUGGAUAUGAAUAUGCUGGCAGAUGUGUUAGAAGUUGAGAGAGGCAGAUAUCAACCAAUCAAAGUUUCCAUUGCUCGGGCCACACUUGAACUGGUGAAGGACAGGAGAACAGAUGAGAAGAUCACCUACUCACGGAUGAAUGCAUUCAACAUAUUGCUUCACAAGAUUGUGAUUAAUUGCCUUCGGCCGAAAUCAACUUCCAAAACUGAUGUUUCAAGCUCUGAGGCAAAGUUGAUGUAUGCCAUCCUCUGUGGAAAGAAGUUUUCUCUCCCUCAUACUGUUAUGUUUCACAUGUAUAGAGCAGUGAUGAAGGACAGAGGUCAACUCCCUUACCCAAGCCUUGUUACGAAGUUAUUCAGACAUCUGAAUAUUCAGCCUCCGCAAAUCUUUUGUGUUCGAUCAUGCGAUCAUAUGGUGGUAGGACUGAAAAUGGUGACCAAAAUGCGUCUGAAGGAACUGAGCAAGGAAUUGGAGAAAUUCAAGGAGAAGACUCCUGCCAAAUCUCAUCAACUCUCUUCUGCUGCUAAGAGAAAAGGGAAGGAGCCCAUGGCUGCUCCAUCAAAGAGAAGAAGAGCUCUCCUCGUUGAGGAUGAAGAUGAUGACGAAGACAUCACCAUCUCUGCAAUGGCUUUGAAGAAUUUAAGUCGUCCUGUUCCACAGAAAGAAUCGGAACAAAAGACGAAAGAAGCAGAGGAGAAGGAAGAAGAAGAAAGAGAAGCAGAGGAGAAGGAAGAAGAAGAAAGAGAAGCAGAGCAAGAAGCAGAGGAAGAAAGACCUGAAGAAGAAAGAAGAGAAGAAGGAGAACUUGAGGAAAUCUCUUCUCCACCUGUAGGCAUGGAAACAGGGGGAGAUCGGGAGAAAUGAGUGACGUCUUCAUAUCCUGAUGCAAGUGAAGGAGUCAGUCGCUCGCCUGCAGACCCAGAAGAUGUUUAUGCAUCUCAAUUUCCAGAGGAAGGUCAUGAAGUGUCAUCGCCAAAUCUGCAAGAUUAUGCAGAUCUACCAUCUUCUUUUACUCCAUCAGAUCGAGCCGAAGCAAGUACUCAGACUGAUAAUGGAGCAGAUUUUCGCAGAAUCAUGGAUAUUCUCUUGGAAAUGCGAGGUCAAAUUUAUGCCUUGGGAUGCGAAGUUCAAAGUUUGAAGAAUGAAAGUCAAGCUUCUUCCUGUUCAUUGAAUGAUAAGAUGCAAGCCCUCUCUAUUCAGAAUCAGGCCAAUGCCAAGAGUGAGGAGGUUGUACAGCUGAAGGAAGACUUUAAAAGGCUGGAAGGCAUCGUUCAGUCUAUGGAAGAUUUCCAGCUUGUCCGCAUUCCCAAGACUUCAUCUCAUCCUUUUUAAUGAUGACAAAAAGGGGGAGAGAUGCAUGAUUUGAUCAAAAACUUUCAAUCAUUUUUUAACUGUUUGUUGGAUUGUGUUGUUGUUUAACUGUUUUUGACAGACUUUGACUUUGUUUUGUGUCUGGAUGAGAACUGAACUAGACUUGGACUUGACUGCUUCUAUUAACAAGUAUUGAUAUCUUAUGAAUGGUUUUAUUAUAUACUAGACUAACCUAUUUUCUAUGGUUGCAGAUUCUAGUGUUAAUCUUUUAGCCAUUCAUCUCUAUAAGAUAUGCAUAUGUGUUUGAGAAAUGUUUUGCAGGUCAAAGUUAUCCAAAUCUGCAGGAAGGUUUUGUCACCAUCAAAAAGGGGGAGAUUGUUGGAGAAAUCUUCGUGAAGUGUUUUGAAGUUGACAAAACGUUUCCAUCAGUCUAGUCUGAAGGUCUGCAGACUCUGUUAGUUAAAGUCUGAAGACUUCCGGACAGCCAGACUCAAGACUCAAAGUCUAUCCUCAUUGACAGUCUCUAAUCCGUUGAAGAAAGGUUAUUCAGAACUGGAUGUUUUGUUCAGGAUUUAACCUUAUCAUCUGGAGAAGAUCUCGUGGUUGGAGAAGACGUAUCAGAAUCCUUUGAUUGAUCAAGAUUGAUUCAAUGACUGAAGAUUCGAUGAUUGUCUAAAUAUUAUUGGAAGGUUCUACUUAUGGAAACCGAAAUCCUGAUUGUAUGGGCGAACAGGAUUGAUGGGCUAUCAAUACGUUCCUUUAAUAGCUCGAACAAUCUUCCUAAUUGAUUCCGUCCAACGGGUAGAUUGGAGGAAUUCCUUUGGUAAGUGCCAACGGGUAUGAUGGCAUAAAGGAGUAUAUAAGGAAGACGUUCUUAGUUGUUCGAGGUGUGCAUGAUAGAAGAAUUCCAAAGUCUGAAGCUCCUAUUUGUUUAGAUAAAUCCUUUGAGCGAAUACUUGUAUACAAAAGAGAGUCUAUAUUUGUGAGAGACCUUGAGGAGGUGUGGUAGAACAUCUACACUGUGGAAUCAAGGCAAAGCUGUGCUGUAACUUCUCUUUUGAUCAUAGUGAAAUCCAGCCGGUGGGCUGUCAGUGCGGAAGAGUGGACGUAGGCUUGAAUAAGCCGAACCACUAUAAAUCCUGUGUUCAAUUUUCUCUUCCUCACUCUCUCCACCUCAAUCGUAUUUCAUUUUGUUAAUUAAGAGAGAAUUUACUUUCUAUCAUAUGUUAAGAAUCGCUUCCGUAUAUCGAUAAAUUGUUUAGGCACCUAUUCACCCCCCUCUAGGUACUCAUACUAGCAAUAUCAGACCUAACCGAGCCAAACUCUUAAAGGACUUGACUAGACUUACCCAUUUUUCGGUUGAGGCCAGUACCGUACAUGAUCACUUCUACAACAAAGCGUGAUGGGCAAUCUUUUUUUUCUAGUCCAACUUGGGCAUCUACCUCUUUUGAUACUCAUUCAACAUUUCGAGAUGUCGUGCCAUGAAUGUUUCUAUACUUUUGGACUGCUCACAUAUGAUGACGGAGGCUUGCUUCGCAUCCGUUGCCUCUAUAUAAUUUGCUGUAUUCUAAUAACUUAAGAAAAAAAAAUGCUUAUCGUCUCGUUUCUUUGAUUGGACUGAUGUAAUUCUUUACUUAGUUGUAGCUCCGCAUUUGGAUGGUUGACUUUUGAUACCAAGUAAAGCGAAAUCUAUAUAUGUUCCACCAUUCUUGAACUCACAAAUCUAUUUAUUUUUAUUUCUUUCAUUGAGUGACGUAAUAUCAGUUAUUUGUUAGACUAAUUUGGUAAUUUUAUCCCUUUAUAUCAUUUGCCCUAACCAAAUAGACCGUAGCCUUUCUUAUUCUAUUUUCAAAUUCAAUUCUCUCUUCAAUUUGAAAAUGUAAUGCCGCUGCACUCGGUGAGUAUUAAUUCUUCAUUUUGCUUCUCCCUUUAAUAAAUUGAUAUGUUCUUCUGGUUAUUCUUAUCGCACUUCUUAAUAAAUUCUAUUUGAAUAUUUGGCAUACCUUUCAGCUAUCUAUUUCCACUAUCUUCAACUGUUUUACGUUUUCAAUUAACGAAAAUCUAUUUUUUUUUUUUGCAUGAAAAAAUUCUUGUCUUUUUACCAACUUUUUAUAUUCUUUUGUUUGGAAGAGUUUAUUUGAGUAAAUAUAAUAUUAGCUACUUCCACAUUUAAAAGUAGAAAAUUAUUGUCUAAUUCAUUUUUUCUUUUUCAUGCUUAUGUCAUUUGAAGUGUUUUUUUUAUAUUAUAAUUCAUUUUCUUCGUCAGUGACAUGCACGCGAAAUCCCUUUUUUCCUUUCUUCUUUUUUCUUUUCUUUCACUUUUCUGUUCUGUUUUUGCGUCUUGGCCUCUUAUAAACUGAAAGCGUCCACCGUUUGCUGUUUUGUUGACUUUUUAACUCUGUUUUUGUUUUUCCCCGGACUUGGUUAAACUCCAAAUGUUACAGUAAGAGCACAUCCGUCUAUUUCAAAAAUUUAAUCAAAUACUUUAGAUUUGUGUGUUUUCACUGUGUUGAUCUUUUUGUGUGUUAUAUUUGUAAUUAUUAUAUAUAUUUUUCUAAUGAGUGUUUCUCAUUUGUGUAUGGUUAUCACGGGAAAAAUAUCAAUUUCAUUCCUUAUUCAUAUAGUUCUUUUUAAAAAUUGAAUAUAUUUAGUUGUUGAUACCAUUCAAAGUGAAGCAACAAAUAUUCAAAUCAUGCUUAAGAAAAUAUUAAGUUAUAUUUUGAGUUUGAGUUUGUGUGAGAAAUUUCAAGAAAUCCAUUUUCUCACUGGGAUUUGGAUUCAUCACACGACAUAGUUUUCUCGACUGGUGUCCGACGAAGCGGCCACAAGGUUAUUAACUUAUUUGGUUUUGGUCAAAGGAGAUGUAUGGCUGUUUUACUCCUAUACAUAACCGCACAAGAGGGAGAGUCAUUAUAGGAUAAAAUAAGGGCUCACAAAUUCUCCAAGGAAAAAUUAUCAAAAAAAUCCUAAACCUAUUGCAAUUGUGUCAAUUCAGUUCUAAACUUUUUUUUUUGACCAAUUGAGUCAUAAACCUUUUACAAUUAUAUUUGAUUAGGCCAUCUGACCAAAAUUGGUUGGCCGGCGCUGAUGUGACAGCCGACCGGUGCUGAUGUGAUAGCCAACCAGCGCCAAUGUCCCGAUUAUAAAGCCAAAUCGUUAUGACACGUCUUAUACCAUGUCACACAAUUUCGUCCCAUAAUUAGGCAUAGACAAUUCAUAUUGUUGGUUCCAUCCACACCCGAUAUUCACUCUCAAUAUUCAAAUUUCCAAUCCAACCUCAACAUUUUCACUCAAUAAUUCGACUCAAUACUCAAUACUGGACUCAAGGUUCUAGAUGUGCCCUCUCCUCAUGAAAUUCUGACAUCGUGUGGCACUUAGUCCUUGACCACAUCCGUCAUAGUAUGAAAUACUAGAGGUGGUUCCCAUGAAUUUACACUGUCGUGUAGCACUUAGUUCUCGACUAUACUAAACAAUAGCUCAAAGUACUAGAGGUGGCUCCCACGAUUUCACAUAGUCGUGCAGCACUUAGUCUUGACUAUAAAAAAAAACACUAGUACAAUGUUCUAAAGGCAAUUCACACGAAAUCUUGCUAUCGUAUAGCAUUUAGUUUUUGACUAUGCAUGACAGUACUGCAAGGCUUCUAGAGGUGGCUCCCAUGUGACACAAUUCACCUUGUAGCACUUAGACCUUGACAACAAUAAGCAACUGUACAAGGUAUUAGAGGUGGCUCACAUGAAUUCUCAUUAUUGUGUAGCACUUAGUUCUUUAUCGGCUCACAACCCAAUAGGUUCCCUGAAUACAACACAUGUGUGGCAUCCCAAAAUUCAAGUCACCCUCUAGAGGAAUUAAAGCCAAUAAUUAGGUAAUGAAAUUACCUAUGGUUUAUGUUUUGGCUAUUAGUUUUCUUUUAAGGCUAUGUGUUAUGUGCUUGUGAUCAUGAGUUUUUAAAUAAGUAUUAUGGAAUAAAUUUAUGAGGAUGAUUUAUUCUUUGGCCAUGUGAAUUUUAAAAUUUAAAAUCUAUAAAAGAAAUAAUUAAAGAUAAAUAAUUGAAAGUGAAAUUUUGGGUUUAAUUAGGUUGGGCCUUAGGCCCAUUGGCCUAAGCUUUAGUGGGCCAAGCUAGUCGGCCCAAUUAGGCCCGCGGAUGGGGCUGCUGUCGCCGGCCCAUUGAGGCCCAAGGAGGUGUGGCCGUCGGCCACAAGGGAGGCCCAAGCCCAAGCCCAUGCAUGUGUUGUGAUAAGUGGCAAGAGGGAUGGCAUGCAUUGGCCAAUUGGGGAGGCAAGCUAAUGAUGAGGUUUAGGGGAAAUAAAAGGGAAGAAGAUGAGAGAGAGUGGCUGGUUGAUUCGGCCAAGAGAGAAAGGGAGAGAGAGAGAGAGAACCGUGCGAGAGAGAGGGAAAGAGUGUGGCCGAGAGGGAGAGGAAGGAGUCGCCGCCUGCUCGCCGCCGUGAGCCGCCCGUUCGCCGCCGUGUGCCGCCGUUCAUUCGGUCUAGAGGCAAGUUGGAAAUCCACUUUCUACUCUUGAUCCAAUGUCUUGCAUGUAUGGUCGGAAUCUAGAAUAUUUGGAGGCAUGGGAGUGAAGCUAAUGUGUUUUGUUCUUGAGUUGCAUGCUGUUUUCGCAUGAACCGUUUGAGUCAGAACUUUGUGAGAGCUUGAAUGCAUGUUUUGAGUUCGAUUUUGACUUUGAUCUCUUCAUGAAAGUUGUAGCUAACAUCUUAAAAUACAACAUACUAAAAUUUGGUGUAGAAUGAUGGAGAUUUAAGGGGUAAAACUCUCAUCCUACGGAGAUGCUAGAUCUGGAAUGUUUUCGCAUGAACCGUUUGAAUCAGAACUUUGUGAGAGCUUGCAUGCAUGUUUUUAGUUCGAUUUUGACAUUGAUCUCUUCAUGAAAGUUGUAGCUAACAUCUAAAAAUACAACAUAAUAAAAUUUGGUGUAAAAUUAUGGAGAUUUAAUGGGUCAAACUCUCAUCCUACGGAGAUGCUAGAUCUGGAAUGUUUUCGCAUGAACCGUUUGAGUCAGAACUUUGUGAGAGCUUGCAUGCAUGUUUUGAGUUCGAUUUUGACUUUGAUCUCUUCAUUAAAGUUGUAGAUAACAUCUUAAAAUACAACAUAAUAAAAUUUGGUGUAAAAUGAUGGAUAUUUGAGGGGUCAAACACUCAUCCUACGGAGACACCAGAUCUGGAACGAUUUCACUGACCUUUCGGUGGAUUUGUGGUUGCAUGCUGAUUUCUACUAAGAAUCUCUUUUCAACUUCUACAUGAAACUUGUAUAGAACAUCUUGAAUUUUAACAUACUCAAAUUUUAAGCAAAAUGAACAAGUGUAGCCUAGUGAAUCAACUUACUCUUAAAAACCGUAGAUCUGGAGACGCGGUACAGGUUACCCGAGACUUCAUGGACCCAUAUGGAGACUUUCCUUUGGAAAUAUGACUUAGAUCUCUUCAUGAAAGUUGUAGGGGACGUUUUGAAGUAAAACCUAUCCAAAUUUCAGAGGAAAAUAAGAAUGGUAAGUGGGUAAAAACUCAGUAUUUCGGAGAACCAUGCACUGGACGUCUCGGUAUUAGAUUCAGAAGCUUCGUGUGACUGUAGAAAAUAAUCUAAAAAGAAUUUAGCUUUGAAGUCUUCAUGAAAAAUCUACCUUAGUGUCUUGGAUAUAACCUGGUAAAAUUUCAUAAUUUUCGGAGGUCAUUUGGAUAUUUUAAUCAAAUUAUUUCGGAAACUGUGCAUUCUGUUUUUAUCCGAAAUUACAUGCUGUAUUUUUGUGAAUUUAUAAUUUUGUGUGGAAAUUGAUUGGCCUUGUGUUUUUCAUGAAAUUAUUACCCUAUUGUCUUGUCCAUCACUAGCCUUAAUUUCAUGAUUUUUGGGAACCAUGUGGAUAUUUAAUUUAAAUAUUUUCAAAAUAAUACAAGCUGGAAUUUAAAUAAUUUUUUUUAAAAAAAGGAGAGGGCAUGAUAAUGGACUAUUUUAAAUUGUAUGAAUUCCAUGAAUUUUAUCUUUAUGGAUGAUUGUACCUUGAUGCAUGUGUGAUAGGAUGAAAGUGAUUUUAUUUGCCAUUGCAUCUAGUGCCAUGCUAAGUGAGACCUAAAUUGGUAAAUGUGGACAAUGAUAAAUGAGGAAACUAUUAUGGCGGAUGAUAAUGCCCUAGGAGUAUUAGGAUGCCCGGGACGGGGGGUGCCAGAUGCUCGGAAUGUAUAGAGAUACAUGGCCGGAUGGCCCUGGGAGUGUCAGGAUGCCCGGAAUGGUUGGGUGCCGGAAGCCUCGGAGGUCUUUGCCCGAGGGGAUGCCUCGUGAUGCCAGUUGGGAUGCGAGAUGCCCAAAAUGUGGGGGUGCCGGAUGCCCGGUGGCCUUGAGUGGCUGAAUGCCAGAGGUUUUUUUUUUCUCGCGAUGCCAGGAUGGGGUGCGAGUGUAAAAUAUGGGAUGAAAUUGAUGAUCCCGAGAAAGAAUGAUGUGGUGAUCAAAUUGAAAGUUAAAAGUGGAAAUUGAAUCAUGCAUACAUGACAUGAUAUGAUGAUGAUCACCUAUGACAUGAUGUUAUGCAUGUAUAAUAAGAUAUGAUGAUGAUCACCUAUGGCAUGAUGAUGAUGUAUAAUAUGAUAUGAUGAUGAUCACUUUUGGCAUGAUGAUAUGCAUGUAUGAUAUGACAUGAUGAUGAUCACCUAUGGCAUGAUGAUGUGCAUAUAUGAUAGGAUGAUGUCAUGAUGGUAGUGAUAUAUGAUAUGAUAGGAUGAUGCAUGAUGAUGAUGAUAUGUAUAAUAUGAUGAUGCAUGAUAGUAUGGGCAUGGCUUCAAGGUAAGUAAACCCCUGCAAUGCAUGUAUGACUUGUAUUGCAUGUUGCAAUGAGUGGUUAUUGGAUUCCUUUACCUGCUGAGUGGUUGUACUCACCCAUUCUGGGACCAACAUUUCAGAUUAGCAGCAUGCCGCUCCAUACUGUCACGCGGGGUGUAUUUUACGGCCUACCUUCGGAUGUAGAGGUCCAGUGCGAGGAGUUUGACUGUCCUUCUAUUCCUGGUCUUACGUAUAUCCGAGUGCGUUGUUUAGUUAUGUACGAUGUGAGCUUGGCUGGGGGCCCUGUUGUCCAGGAGUUCAUAUCCGUGCAUAUUCGACGCAAUGGAGCGAUGCGUGGGAUGUUGCCGCCGCCACCGCCUGAUGCACCGGGAUGGGUGUGAGGGCCCGUGCGUGUUAAGUAGGAGCUGAAACUUUUUGGGAUGGUUAGCCGACACUAGCGAUGGGGGAUCUUACACGUGAGUUGUAGUGGGUCGAGUAUUUCUUUUUGGAUUUUAGGCCGAGUAUGGUUGAGUCAUGGCCUUUCUUUUGAUGUACCGACCCAAGGAAACCCAUCUUGAAAAUAUGUAAAUAAAGUGUCGUGGCUUUGUCUUUUAUUAUGAUGUUUAGUGGUGUGCAAUUGUAUCAUGGUUAUUGAAGGGAGAGAUGGCGAUGUUAUAUUUUGCUUCCGCUAAUGAGUCGCGCUGGGACUGUUUAAAAAAAAAGAAAGUGUCCAUGAUUUUACAACGCUUCUUAUAAGAGAUUAUAAUUAGGUGUAAUGUCAGGUGCCUGUGGCGACCCUAGGUGGUUCGGGGUGUCACAACAUGUCACCUCAAUUUUCAAUAGUCAUCUUGCAUUGACUAUAAACCAUCACACGAUUAAUCAAUCACGGCCAAGGCCAUUGUGCUUUGCGUACUAAUUCCUCAAUUAAAUUAUGAACUUGGCCUAUUUCCAUUGUGUUAAAAAUACCCGAUAAAAAUAAUCGUGUGUGGGUAUACGGUUGGCCUGAGCAAAAAAUGCAAUAUCUACCUUUUUAAAAAUCCCACUAUUUAAUAUAAUAUCUAAAAAAAAAAUUGGUGUAAAAAACCGACGCCCCGGUAUUUUCUGAUUAAAUACUAAAAUUAUACAAUUUUAGGAUAAAUACGCAAAAUUACAAAUUCCACUCGAUUUGCACAAAUUAGCACUCAAUUAAAUAAACCAAACACACCAUUGCAAUCAACACGAAAUUUCGGUCACCGACUAUUCCGGUAUAAUUUUCGGAAAGUAAUAAAUAAUUAAAUAAAUACUAAAAUAAAUAAAUAAAUGCAAUUAAUUACCAAAAAUAGCAACUUAGGUCGGAAAUGCCUAAUUAAAUACCGAAACAGGCCCGGAAAAUUUCUGAACCAAUCUAGAUAAAUAGCACGAUAUAUCUAGUCCCUAAUUAAGCUAUUCUAACCACCUAACAUACACAAACGAAUAAUUAAAUCGCUAAUCCGUGAUAACUAACCACCCAAACCUUAAUUAGCCUAAUCUAAACACUAAUUAAAUGUCAUUAACUCCCUAAGCAGAGUUUAGUGAGUAAACUCACCAGUUUUGUGAUCCGGUGAGUCCACGACGACGGCGAUGUGGAGACAAGCGAUAAACCUCAUAGCAGCGACACUAAACGGGGAUGGGACAAGCCUGAAAACGGGCCUUGAAGUCUACGAACCCUUGCUAGCUUCGGUUAUGUACGGCAAAGCUUGCUGGCCGAGGCUGCUGGUGGUGUCGCCAAGGAGUUUUAGUGGUCUCGGUGAGGUGGUGAGCUGGUGAAGAGUUGAGCCUUGGGGCGGUGGACGUGUGGGUUGAGUUGUGGCUGUUGGGUUCGCAGGAACGCUGGAGUUGGGCAGUGGCAUCACUGGAAUGGAGCUGCUACGUGGGUUGCUGCAGGCAUUGGACUCGAUGGAGAUGCAAGGGGCUGCUUUGGUGGAGAGGUGCAAGGGAGUUGGUGGCUUGGCAGAGGCGGAGGGAAGUUCGAUGGGUUGACUGCAACGCCUGGGAUGGUGGACUGACGAUGGUGGAGCAGCGAGCGAGGGAAUCGGUGAAGAUGGGAGCUGGCUUGCAAGUCAACUUUGGGCUUUGUUGGAGGGGGUUCUUCGCGGACGUGGCAGCAGACGGAAGGUCGGUGGAGAUAGGGCGGUGAUUUUGGUUGAGGGAUAGAGAAUAGUGUCGCCGACCGUCGCCGGUCGCCGGCGGGCGGUGACUGCAGGGUUUGAAGGGAGGAGCUGCUUUGGUGAAGGAACAAAUGAAAGAAAGCAAAAGACAGAGGGGUCAGGGGAAGUUGCACAUGAAUAAGAAGAGGGAUCAGCUAAGGCGUGCUCAAGAAGUUGGAGAAAAGGGGGGCCAAAGUCAAUGUAAAUAUCUCAUAUUCAUCACUUCUUGGUUCCACAAGCUUCCAUACAUAUCUCUUUUGUCCCCCCAAGCCUUUAUGCACAUAAAAUUCCACAAAUAACUAAGUUGAGGUCCAAUUGUUGCAGCUCUCGUAUUAGCUUACGAAUUUCACAAUUUUGGACUUAAAUUUCUUCACAAAUUCUCCAAUUUGAUGUCCAAUUUUGUUGAAGAAGAAGCCCACACAAUUUUCACAGUUUCCCUUCACUAAAUAGCUCAUUUUGGAGGCUAAAAAAUCCCUUUUAUUUGGCCCACCCGAAUUUCCUUUCAUUUUCCGAGUUGUUCGAAUUGAUUUUCCGUAAAAAUCCCAAGCUCGCCGAAAAUUUCUCGAAUGAUGAGUUGACGCUCCUAAAAUAAAUCGUGACAUGACAGAACUUUCAAUUUCUGAAAUCGGGUUCAAAUUCGUGGUUAAUUUCAAUCUGACGUAAUUUUAGUGUGACCUAACCUAUUGGUAACUUUUAGAAACUUCUAAUGCAAUUGACCCAUGGUCAAUUAUUUUCGAACCACAUUGUACAUUUUCGACACAUUGACAACUCUCAGUUGUCGUGAAAAUCUUGAGAUUUCAAAUAUGGACAUAGGGUACCAAAACGACAGAAAAAUCGUUCUAAUGUCGAUUGACAAGAAUUUUGUAAUUAGGUGGAAUCACCCACAUCUAAUCACACACCUCUAUCGAAUCAACCUAUCUCUGGUCUCGGAUCAAUUUUUAAUUAUGUCGUAGUGACCCUUGCAGAUUAGCACGGUCGAGCAGUCGAUUUAUGGUUGAAUUCUCAAGUCCAUUGUGUUUAUAUUCCUUAACGGCUUCACCUAAUAGGCUAGUUAUCUCGUGAGUGGCCAACUCAAAGAAAAUAACUAUAGGCGCAUCGAUGAAAAGCCCAACUUAUUCAAUCGAAAUCAGAACUUAAAAUUCAGGAUGUCACACUAAUAACAAAGGGAAAUCAUGCUUUCAAUUCUUAUCAUAAUUAUAUACAUUGGGUGAUGGACUACAUAGCAAAAGGAAAAACCUAAACUAGGAGGAAUCAAAAAGGAACUCAUCUCCCAAGCACCACUUCUAGCAGACGCUCUCACAAUUUUCCAUCAGUCCACGCCACUCAAUCACACAAUUCUACGCCCAAAAAGUUAUGACUAUGCAAAAUCAAAAGCAUUCCCCUUUCACACUACACCAUCUCCAGCUUCUACGACUCCCUAUCGUCUCCAUCAUCACCAUUAUGGUCAUCUAGGUAUGGAAUCAGUCCUUUGAGGUUCCUAUCUACCAAAAUAUAGAUGGUGACGAAAUGAUACGAUGUAAGACUCUCUAGCACACUUAUGUCCACCUUAAGAACCAUCAUGCAUCUCACAAAAACCACACCCGGAAUAGCUAGAUCCAUAAACCCAUACAAAUCACUCGUAAAAUCUAUUGGUUGCACCAUUACCAGAGGUGGAAGACAGUUGUUGAGGAAAUUUCCCUAAAUGAUUUUGAGGAUAAAAAAAAAACAUUUCCAUAAGUGUUUAAUGAUUCUGAUAAUGAUUUUUUCCAUGUGGAAACUCUGAUAUUUAUCAUCAAAUGUUACUUAUUAGACUCAGAGACUUAUCAAGAUGUUUUGGUUAUCUAUGAUGAAGAUUAUGUCAUGUCAUGAUAAUCAAGGACAACGGUGUAAUUUGUAUGAGGAUUGUCAAGACAAUACACAUCAUUAGAUGUUACGAGAAAUCUUAGAUCUUCACAGUUAGUUUAGAUCAUGUGAAGUGCAAUGGCUAGUAAUAUGGCUUGGAUUUUUUGCUAUAUUUAUUGAUUGUCCAUGAGGUAUGAAUAUCCACAUAAUCCUUCCUUGUUGGAGAUUUAUAAUCCAUGAGACAAUCAUUGAACACAAGGUGCACUUUCCAAAUGGAGUAAUCAACUUAUGGAAACCUUAUCUCUAUUGUAUGGGUAGCAAAAUCAAGGGAGACUCUAUUUUAGCAACCUAGAAGCAAUCGGAUUAUCCUGAAUCAUUUAGGUUUAACGGAUGCAUUGGAUGAAGAUCCUCAUAAUUUAUGUCCAACGGUCAUUUUGGACAUUAAAGAGUAUAAAAAGAGAUUAUGAUGUUGAAGGGAAUAAGAGAUCGGUAGUCUACAAAUUCCAAAGUUGAAAGAGAGUUUCAUCUUUACACUCGUCUUCAUGAGCUUAACUUGUAAUCUCUUAGAGGUUGUUUUCAGAGUGUGAGAUCGAAAGAUUGGAUCACACUUGAGUUGGAAGUACUUGAUUGUUGUAACCUCUAAUGGAUUCAUUAGUGAAAUCUAGCUGGUAAGUUGUCACCAUAAGAAAGUGUACAUAGGCUUAUCAAAAGUUGAACCAUUAUAAUUGUUAUGUGUAAUUUUCUCUUUCCUUUAAUCUCUUGUUUUUUAUUUAUUUAUUUAUUGCACAUAGUAAAAGUCUAAUUAGCACAUAGUUCUUCACCGGACACUGUAGAAGAUAUGAUCAUUGCAAAGUUUUUCAUCAAACUUUGUUAUUUUGUGAUAUUGAACUUGGUUUUUUUUUAAAAUUCCUCUUUAAUUGCUUACAAUCACCUAUUUACCUCAUGCUAGGUGAUAGGGCUAGCCAUUAUAAUAGGAGUCAGAGGCAUGGCCAAAGAUCUCUAAAAACAAUAGAAGUGAGCUAACACUCAACAAGAGAAAUAGAUAUCUCAUAAUUGAAUCCUUCCAAUCAACACUCAAUUCCUAGGACACUUCUAGCAUCAUAACAAUUAGCACACGAGAAUGAGCACACAUCACACAUUAGAUGCAAUAUCCUUGGUCAUGUGCAUAAUGAUCACACAUAUUUAAUGCAUCAUACACUUCAUUCUAAGUUACACCACUUUAUUUGGGUCCACCCCUAUCUUAUGGUUCAACCGGGAUUGCUAGUUGGCCUGUGCAAGUCACUACUGAUUUAAUGUUCGGAAUUCUGUGGUUUGCUAGUUGCAGGCGUUUCGCUACUAUCACCCAGAGUAUCUUGAUUUGCUACCCAAGACAUUCUCCUUUGGCAUCCAAUCCUAGCCAUAGCCGAGUUCUUAGUUUGUUAGCCAAGACUUCCACGGUUCUCUUUAACUGCAGGCAUUCUUGCUACAACCCAGGGCAUCCAAGGUUUGCAAGCCUUGGACAUCACGAAAUAGCAAAUUUUCUCAAGCACCACAGGCAUAUCAUACACAUGCAAUGACAUUAGAAUCAUAUGCUAUGAAUCACAUCCCAUUUAGCACACCUUUCACUAGGAAAGAUACUAUGUCAUCGCAAACAAUUUAAUGCCUCAUUAGUACACCCAAGCUAUUUACAAAUCAUAAAUUCAAGAAUAGGUGCUCAUGCAAUCAUCUCAAUUUUACAAACAAAUGGCAUUUAAAUUGAAGUCAAACCUAUACCGUGAGAUAGCCUAAUGAGUAUGAUUGCUAUCUCCAGUAGAGCACAAGCCAAGAUUCAAUCACCUCCGAACAUAAAUUCGUGAUUUACCAAAAAUGGGCAAAACAAAAUAGUUUUGAAUAAUCUUCGAAAUCAAAGUCAUUACUUUAUCAAAUGAACAUGAAAAAUUUUAAAAAUUUAAUAUGUUGUAAAAAAGAUCUUAAAUAACAUUUUUCAUGAAGGAACUAAGUGCAAAAAAUUUUGUAUCAAGAGUAGUAAUUCACACAAAAUAAAGAAGAAUCUGGUUCACUAGAAUAGAGCAACUAAGCUACAAGAUAUACUCAUCUCACAGCAGAAAACGUGUCAAAACAUUUUGAAAUUUGGAUAUGUUAUAACUAAAGAUGUCUUAUACAAUUUUUAUGAAGGAAGCAAGUCCAAAAUCAAUAGAGAAAAUGUUUCUAAAAUUCAAGAAAACAAUCGGGUCACUGUUCCUACUGCACUGGGCAGAUUAGACACGGUAAAUGAUUAGGCUUGUAUAUCAAUUAACCUUAAAAAAAUCUAAAAUUAAAGUAUGUUGUAAAUCAAGAUGUCUUGCACAACUUUCAUGAGAAAGUCUCAUCAAACUCGAACCACAGCAAGCUCCACCAAAUUAAUAAGUAGAUAAGAUCCAGCAAUUCUAGUUCUAGAAAUCCAAACUACAGCACAUGAACAAGUACAAAACUUGCACCACACGAAUUCAUUGCUUAAAAACAAAUCAAAACCUAAAGUCCCAAGUCACAUGCAACAUCCAUCUUCAAUUAUAGUCAACAAACUCUUUCAUAAGGGCCAAAUAAGCACAUGAAACUCACAUGCAAGACCAUAUAAGCCACCAAAUGCACAUUUUCUACAUCUACUCAAGCCAACAAGGACAUGCAAGUAAGAAGCAACACAAAACAGCUCAUAUUCUAGCAAACAUUGAGCCUCAAAAGGAUCGAGAAGAGUAAAAGAGAGCCACUUCUCCAUGCUUUGCUUCCCUUGAGCUCUAGACCUUCCUUCCUUGAAGAAGACUUGGAAUUCUUGAAGGAAAAUGCAAGAAAUGGAAGAGAAUGAGAGAAUGAUGUUCAAUGAGGGAGAGGGAGAGAGAGCUCACACGAGAAAGAGAGUGAGUGAGUAAAAUGAAAUAAGAGACGGAGGGGGAGAGAGAGAAAGGUCAAUUGAAUAAGGUGGAGAAGAGAAGUGUUUUCCCCAACACACUUCUUUGCAUGAAUCCUAAUUGGAUCAAGGAGAGGCGGCUUAAUCAUUAGGCUAAAUUCAGCCUAUUUUGCAAUUUAAAUUCAAUUGCAAGCAUUUCUAUUGGGCAAUAGGGGUGAAAAACAUAAUUAUUGUUUUUAAUUUCAUGCAAAAUAAGAAUAGGGUGGGCCACAUAUAUAAAUGCAUAUUAAAAGUCUAAUUAUGUCCUAAGGUACAACCUUAAGCAUAUACAAAAACCGUACAAGGCAUAGGUCACAUGCCUUCGUCCCUAAUUUGCUUAUUGAAUUGAUUGUUGAAAAUUUAAAUCCCUACAUGACUUACUAAUAGGGCUAGGUGGAAAUUGGGGAUGUCACAUAGUAGAUAUAAAUGUUAUCUUUGACAAAGUGAUUUGGUGAAAAUGUUUGCUGGUUGUUCCACUAUUCCAAUUCCUCUUGUCACAAGUAUCCUUUCUUGGAUCCUUUCUCAAGUGAAGUGACAAUCAAAUUUUAUGUACUUAGUUCUUUCAUGAAAGACUUGGAUUUGCUACCAAUUUAAGUGUAAUAUCAUUAUUACAAAAUAACUUGGUUGAUCCAUUGACUUUUACUUUGAGGUCCAAGAGUAAACCUUGUAUCAAAACUAUUUUGCAAAUGUUCACCCUGACUCGAUACUCUGAUUCUAUGAACGAUAAUGAUCGACUAUUUCUUUGUCUUCCCUGAAAUAAAUUAUUUUUCUAUUUUGAUACAAAAACCAGUGACAUAUUUUCUAGUCAUUAGACAAGCAGCAUAAUCUAUAUCACAAUAGAUUGUCAUCUUCAUAUGACAACCUUGAGACAAAAGUAUAUCAAGUCCUGGACAUCCCUUCAAGUACUUCAUGACCUUUAGUGUCGUAUUCUUAUAAGACUACUUUGGGUUGUGCAUAAAUUUAUUGAGUAUUUGCACUGCAUAACAUAUAUUAAGUCUUGUCAGGGUAAGAUAUUUUAGUUUUCCAACAAGCUGUUGAUAUCCUAACAGGUCUUUAAGCAAUGAGUCCUUGUUGAAUGAUGAAUCCACGUCAUAUUCAUGUGAUGUCAACUUGAUAUUAUGCUCAAUUAGUAUAAAAAUUGGUUUACAAGCUGAUAAUCCUAAUUUUGAGAUAAUUUCCAAAACAAAUUUCCAUUGGCUAAGACAUAUUCCCUCUUUGGAUUAAGCUAUCUCAAUCCCAAGAAAAUAUUUAGGAGGUGUUAAAUCCUUUAUGUGAAGAGUAGAAUGCAGACAUUCUUUGAAUUUCCCAAUGGUAAAUUCAUCAUUUCCCAUGAUAAACAUAUCAUCAAAGUAUAUCAAUAAAUUAAUUGACAAUGUACCUCUGGUCAAUGUAAAUAGAGUAUAAUCAUGCUUGGAAUACUGAAAGCCUACGUUUGUGAGUGCAUCAGUAAACUGGGCACACCAUUAUCAAGAAGUUUGCUUAAGCCCAUAGAGGGAUUCACAAAGACAACGCGCUCGAAACUCCUUCCCUCUUCGUAAACCACGUUGUUUACACCUAAAUGUUGGCGAUCUAUUUAGUCAUUUAUUGCAUAAAAAAAUUAGGGAUUAAUUUUAUCCCUGAAAAAAUAUUAAUUGCAUAGCAUAUAAGUUUAGGUGCAUUUGUUUUUAAUUUGCAUUUUUUUACACUUAUUUACUGGAUCAAUGGCGGAUGGGUCGAAUUAGUGGUUUUAGGUUUUAAAUUAGCAGACUGGGCUAGGCCCACGAAAAGAGUACAAAUUGGCCCGAGACCGUUUUCUGAAAUUGCGAUUUGAAAUGAGGAUUUUUGAAAUUUAAGAAAAUUAGGUUUUGAUCUUAUCUUUAAAAAUCAAUAGAAAAUAUUUAGGAGAUAAGAAAAAAAAGAGGAUUUUGUGAUUCGGAGGUUAUAGGAAAAUCUUCGUGUAUAUUGAAAAGUGGAUGAAAUAUUUCACGAAGAUUUUCAUCUUAUUUGCCUAUAAAAGGGAGCCGUAUACGAUGAGAGAACGGGGGCUUCGCUGAAAAGAAAAAAGGGAAGAAAAAAAGGUCAAAGAGAAGUUUUGCUUCUGCAGUAAAAAAAAGAAAGAGAGAAAGAGUACGAAGGAAGAGGGAGAGUGACGUGAGAGAGGGAGAGAGAGGAGAAAAAGUAAAGUAAGAAGGCUGAUUUGACUCAUACUGUUCAUCUUCCUCGCCGUUCCUCUCGCUGCCCGAUUCGCCGCGCCUCCAGUCACAGAUUCGACGCCGGCCACCGCAUCGGUGUUUCCUCCGCCAGCCCGUCGUCGUUCGUCCGCGAAGCUGCCCCCGCCUCUGCACCAGUGCCGUCGCAGCAGCUCACCCGUUCGUCGCUACUGGUCGCCGCACCUCCUCACCACCACGAGCCCCGCACCCUGCGACACCCCCUCGCCGGUGCCCUGCUUCGCCGAAGUCCUUUGCCGGUGUCAAUCGUCCGUGAAGCCCGACGCCAGAGCCAUUCCUGCCCUGCGCCACCCGCUCGAAGCCGUGAGUCCACUGUUCGCUGAUCCACGAUUCCGACGCUGCUGCUGAACCGCUCCACUAACCCGACGAAGCCACCGCCGAGCUGAUCCGCGACGACGCUGCUUCCCUUGCCCUGUCCGCGAUCCGCCCACCACGCCACCGGAAUCCCUCUGCACCCGCGAGCCCGUCCCGACGCCACUGCAAUACCAGUCACUGCUGCAACUCCGAGCGCCGACGACCGCGCGUCUUCCUCCGCCUGCACCUCCCGUCGCCGGCACCGCGACGCCACCCGCGACCUGCUGCUGCCGCCGGACCGCUCGCUACCGAUCCACCCGUUGCUGGUCCUCGCCGGAGCUCUGAACGCCGGCGACCCAACCUCCGGUGAUCCACCGAAGUCGCUCGGCCGUGGGUGAAGCAAGCAGGAAAAGAAAAAAAACAAAAAGAAAAAAGGGAAUCCAAUUAGGUAGAUUAGUUUAUUAUUAUUAGUAUUAUUAUUAUUCUCGUUUAUUUAUUGUGCUUUAUUUGAUAGCUUUCUUUAAUUCAUUUACAUUGUAAUAUUGGAUGUCGAUGCUUAUUUCAAAAUAUCUUACAGGCAUUAUCCAUAGGGAUAUUCCCUAAGAUUAUUGUAAUUAUUAAUUUGACCCGUAAGAUAUCGAGUCAUUUUUUUAAUUGUAUUAAUUCUUGGGGUUUUGUCGAUAGCACAUUAAUUGUGGAAUCAAUAUAACUAUUAAUUUGAUCCGUAAGAAUUCGGAUCAAAUUUUUAGUUAUUUUGAUCUUUUUGUCAUGACAUUCAGGAUUAUAAUAAUCAUUAAUUUGACCUGUGAGAUGACAGGUUAUUUUUUCGAUCAUUGUAAUUCUUUAUUUGAUUGGAUGCCUUGAUUAGUUUAGAUUUAAUGUUUAGUUGGUAAUUGCAUUAUUUAAAAAAAAACCACUAAAAAAUCUAAAAAAAUAUUUGAAUUAGGAUUCAGUUUGUUUUGGAAUAUUUCUUGUUAUCUUGCAUAUCUAGAAUAUGGAUUUUAUUCCGAAUUUAAAAAAAUAAAAAAUGCAAAAAGAAAAAUGCAUUCAUUUAGGAUUUUAGUUGCAUGUUUAAUUAUGUGGCAAUUUUAAAUUUUGAAUUUUAAAUAAAAAAUAAAAGAUAAAACAUAUCAUGCAUAUGUCAUGUAGAAUUAGGGCAUGCUCCGCACGUCAUUGCAUAUUAGAUAGAUCGCAUGUUAGAUUAAGAUAAUGUUUUAGUUCAAUUAGGAUUUAAUGUGACUUAAUCAUUAGUUUAAAUUAGAUAGAAUUUUAAUCUAGCUAAAUCAUAUCAAGUGCACGUCAUUUAGUUUUUAUUAGGUUCAUUUAAUUAGAACUUCUUCGUUAUUAGAUUAAGUCAUUUAAUAAAUGUCGCAUGACAUAUAACUCGCAUACUAAAUUGUAUGCUGCAUGUCAUUUUAGGUUAAAUAAUUUUGUAUGUCAUUGCAUCGCAUCGCAUGUCAUUAGAAUUAGGUCAUUUAGAUUGCAUUUAAUUAUUGCAUUUCUUCAUGUCAUAUAGUUUAGGUCAUGUUGCCAUGUCAUAUUAGAUUAUUAGCAUGCAUCGCAUGAUUCUCAUUAAAUAAAGUGAAAACAAAAAUUAAGUAAUUGCUUGUUAAUUAGAAACCAUAUCUAGGGUUGUUGAUGUGGAUUUUAAUUUAACACUGCAGAUGCUUGCUUUCGUUGCUUUUAGGUAAAUUCUACAUUAUUUAAUUGCUUUUUUGGGUGAUAAAUUGGUGAUAUGCGCACACGUAUGAUCACCUCACAUAUUAGGAAGUUAAAUUAAAAUCAAUUCAAUUGCCAAACAUACUUUUGAAAAUGAAAUAAAAAGGUACCGAAAAGGCACUAGGAUAGUCUAGUGUAACCAAGUCCCCGAACUCAUAAAUCUCUGGUUCGUAGGAGUAAAGUAAAUCUCCCGUUACUUUACUUGGGUUUCUAAUCGACCCACCAAAAAUAGAUUAGUGGCGACUCCUGAUUAAAAAUCAUUUGCAUGUUAAGAAUUCAAACUUAAGUCACGAAUUGGUAUGGGCUUGGGAGAGCUCGAGCUAAGCUUAAAGACUUAGUAAUCCAUUAACCUAGUUUUAGGUGAUGAACCUGAAAAAUUUAGGUCGCGACACACUUGGAAUUUUCAUAUAGAUUUUUCCUUCUAGGAUUCCCAUGGAGAAAAGCAUUGUGGACAUCCAUGUGGUGCAAUUGCUAAUUGCACAAAGUAGCAAUGGAUAGAAAAGAUCGAAUGGUUAUUUCGGCAAUUAGGGAAAAGAUCUCAUGAUAAUCAAAACCUUCUUAUUAUGUGAAUCCCUUAGCGAGUAAGCGGGCCUUGUAUCAUUCAAUAGAUCCAUCUACUUUAAGUUUGAUAUUGUAUAUCUAUUGCAACUAGUGGGUUUACAAUGUGAAGGUAAUUGAAUAAUAUCCCAAGUAUGAUUUUUCGUAAGAGCAUGUAACUUGACCUCCAUAACUUUUUGUCAGUGAGUAUCACGUGCUUCUUUUUAUAUAUAAGGAUGGUUCUUGUUUCUUGGAAAUAUGACUGAUACAAUAUGUGUGUUUUAGGGAUAGUCUACUAAAUGAAACAUAUGAGGAUAUUGGAUUAUGUGUAUCUGGGAAUGCAAUAUAGGACAUAAGUAAUCUUUGGUCCAUGUGAGGGGCGAACAAGAUGUCUAGAGCGUCGAGGUUGUUUAGUGAUUGUCUAUUUAGUAACCGCCAUGCAAGAUCCAUCAACAAAAGGUUUUGAAGAUACCAUUGGUGAAAUAGAUAAAUGAUUCUCCUAAGAUAAUCUGGACGAAAACCCAAUUGAUUGGUCCAAGGAAUUAGGACUGGUUGGCGUAGGUAGGGAUAUCAGAACUGAACUGAAAAAUUGAGCCAAAAUCAAAAUCGAACUAAAUCAAACCAAACCAAAAUUUCGUGCAUUUUUUAUUCGGUUUGAUUUGGUUUUCGGUUUGGAUAAACGAAACAUAACCAUUCUUUUUUCCUAUUUGGCUUAGUUCAGUUAACCAAGUUGAACCAAAAUUCUCAACAAAACUUAGACGCCCAAUUUAAAAUCUCUUUUUUUUUUCUCACCAGUUAUUCAGUUCAGUACUAAUAAGUAAGGCAAAAAUAGGAAAAUCGAAAUACCAAACCGAACCGGGUGUAUUCAUUUUGAGUCGGACUUGGUUUGGUUUAAAUUCACACCUUAUCAGUUCGAGUUACCAAGAAAAUCAAACCGAAUCAGAUUGUAAACACCCCUAGGCGCAAGUGGUUUUGGUGCAACAAAGAUGUACUAGGGGGCCAUGGAUAGAUCAUCUUUUAACAAAAAAAAUCUGUUGUUGGAUCUCAAUAGAGAUGAUUGGGAUGAAGAGGUCAUCUCCUGAAAUGGGAACACAUCUUCAUGGAAAACUGCAUCUCGACUUACGUUGAAAUGGCUUGUAGAUUUUUUCAUAACCCAAUAGCCUUUCUAUAGAGAAGAGUAUCCUAUGAAAACACAUCAAAAGGGUGUGGCAAUCUAUUUUAUCCCGAGGGCUCAUAGUUGUCACAUAAUAUAAACAUCCAAUAACUCUUAAAUUAUCAAUUCUAAGUUCUUUCCUAAAAAGCAUCUCAAAAGGAGUUCAACCUUCAAGGAUUCAAGUUGGCAUGCGAUUAAUUAAGUAGGCUGCCGUCACCACACAAUCUCCCUAAAAUAUUUCAAGAAUUGAAACUUGAUAUUUUAGAGCUCGAGCGACUUCCAAGAGGUGUCAACGUUUGUGCUCAACAAUCCCAUUUUAUUAGGGAGUAUAAGUACAUGAACUUUUGUAGAGCAUUCCUUGAGAGGAUAAAAAAGAGUUGCAUUCACUAGUGAAGGACUCGCAUCCAUUAUGUGGAAGAAUUCUUUGGACAAAUUUGUUGAAGUGAUUCUUAACUAAGGAGAGGAAUUUCGAUAGGAAAAGGUUGACUCUUGGAUUACAUAAGGAAGACCUAGGUGGCACGGUAUAAUCAUGGACAAUAGUGCAAAAAGAAAAAGGAAAAGAAGAUCCAUCAGGAUGUGGAGUAUGAUAAUGAUCCUAGAUAUCCAUAUGGAUCAAGGAGAAUGCACUAGUAGCUGGAGAUGUACUUGUUGGAAAUGGUCCCUAUAACCAAAGGGUAAAUUAGACAUUUUGGGUGAGGAAAACGAACACUGUGACCAAACGUUGAUGAGAAAUAAAAGUUUUAUUACUAAUAGUAGCAUUACAAGAAAUGCUCUUAUUCAACAAUAUAAAGUUUUUGGAAAAAUUGAUCGAAAAACAUAAUCCUUGUGCAAUAUUACCUAAGCCCAUUAGCUUCCCAGUCAAAUGGUUUGAAAGAAGUAAAUUUUAGAAUUGAAUGUUGCAUGGCAAGAAUUGUCCUCGUAAAUUUUGGAAAUAGAUAUGAGAUUGAACUCUACAUCAAGGAUGUAAAGGACAUUCUUUCUUGAGGAUAAUGUUUGGGCUAAGAUUGACAAUGCCAAUUUUAUUGAUAUAAAUAGGGUUUUCAUUUGGGAGACAUAUUGAUACGCAAGAUUUGUGUCUUUUCUGAACAUGGAAAAAAUGCUCGUUGCAAAUUAUAUAGUCAUUGGCAUCUGAAUCAAUUUUUUAUGCAUCAACUAAAAUAAAAUUCCUUUUUGAGAAAGAAAUACCUGAAAAACUCUUAGUCUUAUCAAUAGUUGUCAAUUGACUCAGAGUUUUCAUAAUGUUGUGAUAUUGAUUUAUGGUAAUUGUCUAAUGCAUUCUUUUGGUGCCUUGUACUAAAACCUGGUAAGUAGAAACUUCUCUUUCCCUUUUUCUUUAUCAUUUGUCUUGCCAAGCAAAUUUCAACACGUACUAGCAGUAUGAUAUGGGCAUUAGCAAUAAUCACAAAAUUUAUCUUUUGUUUUGGAUUUUUGUCCACCAUUCUCGCACCUUGUGAACCAUUAGAUGAUUUAAAGAUUGGGGCUGACGUGGCCUGACAUGGGCCUUUAGUUUAGGCCAAAUAGCUAAUUAAAUAGUUGUCGUUGGAUCCUGAUCUCUGAUCUUGGCCGUUUGUUCGAGAAAGUCCUCUAGGGUUUUUUUUUUUUUAGCAGACACCGCUUGUUGAUGCUCCCAAGGUACUCGAAGCUUCCCAGACUUAUUUAUGGUGGCUCCGUUGAAGCCGUGAGGGUGCCUUCAACUCUUCUGUGUUUGGCUGUCACCAACCAUUGGCCUUAUUCUAGGACAGCCAACUAGUAGAUCUGGUCGAGCAAUGGCAUUGGUUGCAUUGCCAAAAUCUGCCAUUGGAAAUGUGAGAAUGUUUUAUUCAAGAUUAGCAAGAAUCGAGUCACUUUCUUCCUCUCCUUCAUCACUUCAUACUGUUGGAGGUUGGUCUCUGGUCCCCUGAGUUGCUCCUCGAUUGACUCAAGCUUAUUUCACGGAUUGAAGUAAGCGAUGGUUGAAAGGUUCCCUUCUUCAAUUCCAACAAUAACCUAAGUGAGCCAAAACAAUUUUGCUCAAUCGAGCUUCUUGUACAUUUCAAAUAUGUUUUCCCAUAUCUCUUUCAAGUUCUCAAUUAGUGGAAGUCUAGCCAUGACAUCGGGUGUUAAGCACUUCAAUUGGUUGCGCUUUUGUCAAUGCUGUUGCAAUUGUUCAUUGGUUGGAAAUGGGACAACUCCAUCGAGGAAACCGUCCUUAUCUUAGCCGGAAGUUGCGAGCCCAAGCGAUAUAGUUAUCCCGCAGAUGAGCUGUAGAUUGAUGAGACGAAGGUCUGGUCUGUUGAUCGGUGAGGUGUAGAGAGGGUCAUUGGACUCCAGGCGGGUUGCCACUGGCUGGAUUGUUUUACCCGGGAACCACGCUCACCCCUAGUCCUUGGACCCAAUUGAGUGGAAUUGAGUCUAUGAUCCGGACUAGUCUAACCCAAUCCAUCAGCUAGUUGGGUGCCAAAGCCUGGGGCUCUUUGUUCUCUAAAUUGGUCUUUUUGUGCCCACGUCUGGCUUGGUCUAGUGGUCCAUUGGCCUUGAACCGAAGACUAGUGGACUAGUGGCCACUGGACUGGGCCGAAAACUUAAAUAGGAGUAGGGUCAGUGUGUUGAACGGAAGAACUUUCUUCUUCAACUGGAUUAAUUUGAUUAGAAUCUUGGUUUCGAGGUAAAUUGUUUCUUUCCUUUUUUGUGAUUUGAUUUUUUAACAUGGUAUCAAAAAGUUUGAAUUCCUACCAGGGUGCUGUUUUGUUUUGUAGAAUUAGGAUUGCAACAACAAAAAAUAGAACAAAACUGGAGGCAAUUCUAAAAUCGCAAAAGCUAGGCCAGGAAAGAAAGUUUUGAUACCAUGACAAAAAUCGAAAGGAUUGGAGGAAAUUCUAUUAUGUUGUAUCAAUUUGUGUACACAUAAAAAGGUCCAUUUAUAAUACAAGAUAAUUGAAAAUAGGAAAAUGAGUAUUUAAGAUUACAAUUCCUAUUCUACAUAAUCAAUUACAGAUUGACACAAUCAGAAUCACAAUCAAUAACCUUCAUAUAUUCAAUCAUAUCUUUAACAUGCAGUAACCGGAACUUUCUAACACCUGAGGCCAAGAAGACAAGGUCUGUUUGUUUGAACCAUCACUUUAUGGCCUUAAUCAAUUUCCUAUAUAAUGGUACAAUUGAUUUGACUCCUUUAUGUGUGGUUAGUAGUAUAGAAGGAGUUCUUAUGAAAACGGUGUAGUAUAGAGGUUCAAGGAUGUUAGCUAUUGCUGGUAGAUAUUUUAUAAUAUGAACAUGUCCAAUAAUGAUGAACUGAAACGGCGAUUAAGAAGUGAGUGAUAAAAGACCUAGGUGGUAGACAAACAUAUACUGUGCAGAGAGAGAGAGAGAGAGAGAGAGAGAUUCGGCUAUCACCAGGUGAAGUACCGAGACAGCUUAGCGUGCAAAACGCCAAACUCUGAGUACCCAACUAGUUGCACAUUUUAAGCUUUCAACUGAUCUUGAAGCAUGGUCAAAAUAUGAGAAAGAAUACUUGAAUUUUCGCGUACUAUUAGUAUUGUGAGUAGUUAUAUGACUUAUCUUGGUAGUUAUAUGACUUAUCUUGGAAGGAAACACUGGGAAUAGGUUUUGUGAUAGGGAUAAUGGAUGUUUGUUUUCCCAGAGAUCCUUGAUAGGUUACAUGUUAAGUUUUGUAGGUUGUGCUUUUAGUUGGAAAGCGUAAUUAUUGCUGAUAACUGUUUAGCCAAAAAUUGAAGUAGAGUAUAUGACGUCAAUCAAGGCAAUGAAAGAAGUUGUAUGGCUUAGAGGUUUGCUCAAUGAUAUGGGAAGAUAGUAGGAGAAUAUCGUUGUUUACUACAACAAUCAGCGUGCAAUACAUUUGGUUAAAAAUCGAAUGUAUCAUGAUGUCAAGUACCACUUUUGUACGUGAUUUCAUCCAACUGGAAACCGCAUCCGUUGAGAAUGUGCACAUGAUAGAGAGACAUAUUAAUGAAGCUUAUUCCAUUAAUAGGGACAAUGACAUCUGUUAAACAUUUUGUGAAGAAAUGAACUCCCAGAGAUCCUUCAUAGGUUACACGUUUAGUUUUGCAGGUUGUGCUAUCAGUUGAAAAGCGUAAUUAUUGCUAAUAACUGUUUUACCAACAACUAAAGUAGAGUAUAUAACGUCAAUUGACGCAAUGAAGGAAGUUAUAUAUGGCUUAGAGGUUUGCUCGAUGAUCUGGGAAUAUGGUACGAGAAUAUUGUUGUUUAAUACAACAAUCAAUACAUUCAGUUAAAAAUUGAAUGUAUCAUGACCGUACCAAAAUACAUUAAUGUCAGUUGCCAUUUUCGUAUGUGAUAUUAUGCAGUGGGAAACCGCAUCCGUUGAGAAUAUGCACAUGACAGAGAGACAUAUUAAUGAAGCUUAUUCCAUUGAAUAAGUUCUAGUACUACUAAUUGGACUUUGGUGAGUGUCUGUAGCAUGUCAGGAGCCCAGAGAGGCUCGAGGAAGACGAUGAUCAUGAUGAUGAAGUUGGACUUUUUGCUGAGGUGGAGAUUUAUUGAUUAUGGCCUGAAGUUAUCAACUAUUUUGAAGUCUGAACCCACAGAUGAAUCGCAAGGUAGCCUGGGCCCCAAAUUAGACUCUCGUCAGGACUUUGGACAUUGCAAAAGAGAUUCGGAAAAGACUUAUUUUCCUAAUUGAAGAAUGGCUCUUAAUUUGUUGCAUAUAAAUAUACUUUUGUCAAGUUUGGUCUGGUGUGCAUAAUGAGUGCGUUUAACAUGUAUGAAGCUGGCGAGAUACAGAAAGUAUCGAGAGCAGUCAUCCAAGAGAGUUGAUAACAUGAGGAAACUUUUUGCCUGUGAUUGAUUCAUGCGAUUUUGGAUUUAUUUUAGGAUCGGAAAACACUUAUUAGUGACUGCUGCAUCAAUUAUAAUAGAAUCAUUCCGUCGAUAUCUCUCAUUGGAGUAGACACACCGCCAGAUCACUUAAAUCUGUUAUUUUCAGAUUUUAUUUCUACAAUUUAUUUCUUAUUCAAAUUGUUUUAUUUAUUCAUAUUUCCGCGGUAGUCACACAGAUUCGGUAUCUUGAACCAAUUUUAUUAAAGGUGAGGACAUGGUACAAGACACAUUUACAGCGACAUCAUAGAGAGUAGAGGUGGCAAAAUGGGUCUUAGACCCAUAUAUGACCUAUUUAAAUCAUAAAUGGGUCAUUUGUUUUUUUGAAGAAACUACUUAAAUGGGUUUAAUAAUUAAAGACUUAAGAUAUGUGGGUCUUAGGUUGGAUUUAGAACCCAUUUUCAACCAAAACCACACAAUCUCCAUCUUCCCUCUUUAACUUUACAAAUAUAUAUAUAUAUAUAUAUAUAUAAAUUGAAAUUAUAAUUUUUUUAUUAUAAUUUUCUUUUCUUUUUCCGUUUUUCUUUUUUCUUUACUUUUUUUUUUCUUUCUUCUUCCUUCUUCCGGUGGUUAGCAUGGCGAUGGCCAACGAUUGACCAAGCGAGCCUCGAGCUCGUUGGAUCUGGUGAGGCGGAGGCCUUGCUGACAUCCGGCAAGGCUCGAGCCUCGCCGAUCAGGCGAGACUCGAGCUCGCUGAUGUUGGGCGAGCCUCGAGCUCACCAGCAUCGAGCAAGCUCAAGCUUGUCAGAUCUGGCAAGGUGGAGGCCUCGCGGAUAUUUGGCGAGGUGGAGUCCUUGCCAAUCUAGUGAGCCUUGAGCUCGCCGAUGUCGACGAGUCGGGCGAGCUCGAGGCUUGCUUGUGGCCGGCGACCGGCCAAAGAAGAAGAAGAAGAAGAAGAAAAAAAAAAUAUAUAUAUAUAUAUUCUUAAAAAUAAAAAUAAAAAUAAUUAAAAAAUUAAUAUUUUAGGAAAAUAAAAAAUAAUUAAAGUUCGAUUUUUUAAAUAAUUAUUUUAAAAAUUAUAAAAAUUGUCCAUUAAAUUUGUGUUAUAUAAAACCAUUUUAGCAAUACCAUUUUUAAAAUAUAUAUAAACUUUUUUAGGUUUCAUUAAAUGGGUCGGGUAUGGGUCGAAUACGGGUCGGGUCGGGUUUGGGUCAAAAGUUUUGCACCAUAAUAAAUGGGUCAUAAACGGGUUAAAUGAAUCAAUUUUGAUCGGACCAUUUAUGACUCGACCUAAACUCGACUUGACCCACCCGUUUAACAGGUCUAAUAGAGAGGCCUAGCAUGGUAUUUUACACCCAACACGGAGAACACAUCCUCCGAAAGCAUGAGAGAUCAUGUGCACCGAUAUGUACAAUAAGCGACUCAUUCGCGAGAGACUCCAACCACCUGUUUCCCAACAUUGCUACCGGAAAACAACCCAAUCAGAUGGUCUGCUCCCUUGUAAAGAGACGCAUCUACACUCAAAAGACAAACAGAAAAUAACCCCUUUUGGAAACACGAGGAAAAGAGAGAUUAUGCCGAUGAAAAAGUACAGAAAGCUGAAUCAUUUGUGAGAAACCACGACCACCUGUUUCCCGACAUUGCCACCAGAGAACACCCCGGCAAGAGCUGCCGGACCGUUCUCGAGCCAUUCCGCUAUGUCUUCCACGGACACAAUCUUCCCCUCUUUGAUCUGAGGCAAUACCUUCUCAAGGAACUUCGGGUAGAGAUGAUAGUAAUUGGACACCAGGAAACCUUCCAUCCGAACCCCGUUUCAGGACAAGGUUCAUCAAGUUGUGUACGCCUUCAUGCUGCUUGAGGUUGUACUGUGAGAUCAUUCCGCAUACUGUGAUUUGGCCAUGCAGUUUCAUGUAUAGCAGCACGGCAUCAAGCAUCUUUCCACCGACAUUGUCGAAGUAGAUAUCGAUUCCCCCAGGGAAGCAUCUAAACAUUUAAGACAGAAAAAUGUCAACUCGAGCCAGCUUCAGAACAGGUACAUUUUUAAUAUUUUGUACAUCAGUAACUCAUUUGCUCAAUCAUCGUUAUUAUAUUUCUGGCUCACCUUUUCAAUGCUGCAUCCAGAUCCAACUCCUCCUUGUAGUUGAAAGCAUCAUCGAAUCCAAACUUGUUCUUCAGCAAAUCAACCUUUUUCAUGAACAUAACAGCAAGAGAGAAGUCUAAGUAAGAUAAAAUCCAUAAGAGACUAUUAAGACUGUAUUUUUAGCAUUUAUGUUUAGUGAAAUGAUGAGGGUACACAUUCAACACUGCCAUCAGUGUCUUGAGCAUUCUCAUAGUUGAGAUAUACAGCAGUAACAGCAUUCAUCAUAUCUCAGGUGCUUCUUUUAGAUCUUAUUCUAUUUUAGACGAGAGGAACAUGUGUUCCAUUUCAAACGCUUGUCUAGUCACUCAUUAUGAAACAAAAGUGAAAUUUGCAGAUGCCAAACAUGCUUGGUGAACCAUUAACAUCGACAUGAUUUUGUGCUUCUUUAAACACUAGACAUGUGGGAUGAUUACCUUCUCUUUGCUACCGGUGCUGCCAACAACAUAACAACCCAGCACCUUUGCAAACUGGCCAACAAGCUGACCAAUGGCUCCUGCCGCCGCCGAUAUGAAAACAAUCUCUCCUUUCUUAGGAGAGCAUACCUCGAAAAACCCAGCAAAGGCUGUCAUGCCUGGCAUACCUGGAAAGUACCGAUUUGCACAAAUUAGAUGAGUUUCAAGAUUUCCUGAAGCACAGGAGUAGGAGUGUAAACCUGUGGCAUAAUCUCAAGUGAUCUGAUUAAUUGAACGAAGGCAAAGCCCCUGAGAAAUGGAUUGACUUCUCAGAGGAGGCUUCUAUUUCAUUGAGAACUAAUCGAUUUACACAUUCAUUCAACACGAAAGACAGUUUCGCAGGGCUCUAGUUUUAAGGCAAUUCAACGAGGGCAUAUGGCUCUAUAACAAGGAAGAUCCCUACAAGUAAAAAUUCAAGGGAAGCACACCUUUUCCUUGCGUAGCUGGAGGCUGUUCGUACUUGAGAAUGAAAUAGACAGAACAAAGUAUCUUAACAAUCUGAUUCCCAUCAUUCUUAAACACUGAAAGACAUAACACACCAGAAGAUUAAAUAGCAUACCCAAAAGGCCGGUGUAGGAAGACAGGGGAACAUCAGAGUGUUCAAUUUUAACGCAAGUAUCUGGCGCAGUAAUUAGACUAUACUCCUCCCAUCCAGUGAUGCCCCAGACCAAGUCGCCUGUCUUGAAGUUUGGAUGCCCAGAUUCCAAAACUCUAGCUACUCCAUAUCCAUGAAUAGGCUGCUUCAAUAUGUUAAACACCUCAGAAUAUAAGUGCACAUCCGUUUAGCUAUCACGAAUAGACUUUGAGCUGACAAGAAGGGAUGAGUGUGCUUCCUUUGAAUUUUACUUGUCGAGUAAACUCAGUCGCAACUUUGAGUUUGAUGUAGACAUGCGAGGUCAUAACUUACUGUUGGCAUCAAUAUCGAAUCAAUGUGACGAGAGAGGUGGCGGUACUUACGGAGCCGAGAGGAGUGAAGUGCUUGAUGAGGUUGAGAUUGUAGGAAUCGCAAGCCAGGUACAAGUUCUUCACCGCAAUGGUCCCUGAAUCUUUGUCGGCCUUCAGUCUCUCCGAACUCGUCUUCACUUCCAAGUGGGUCUCUGUCAGGGAAUAUUGGACCUCCUCUCUGUAUAUUACCUGUUUGUUGCUCAUCACUUCCACUGAAGCAUUGGGACUCUCCUUCUCCAUUCUCUCUCUCUCUCUCUCUCUCUGUGAGAAACAUGGCCAAAUAGCGCUCGUGCAUUUAUUGGGAGAGGGAUAAUGAGAUAUGCUUACGUGUGCUCGUAUGUCAUCGGCACGAACGCUUACGCAUGCCGUUGUGUCAUCGGUGGAAAUAGUAUUUUACUCCUAGGGAACAAAAGCAGUUGAUCAAAGUGGCCAAUUGACUUCUACUCAUUAGAAACUUCUGUGAUUUGUGGUAAAACGUAAAGGAAUAUUUUACGUGGUAAACGAAGAAUUUAAAGAGAAAUCUGAAAGGGUUGUUAAUUGGACACUUUCUUUACGAGUCCUCUCUUCUUGUCCCUUUUCGUUAGUGCUGGAUCUUGUUUUCCACUUAGAUAAAGGUAAGUGUCUGUAAUUGACAGAUAAGUAUAUGAAAACCCUAAAGUUUAUUGUGAUCAAAGUGGCCAAUUGAAUUCUACUCAUUAGAAAAUUCUCUGAUUUGUGGUAAAACUUAAAGGAAUAUUUUACGUGGUAAACGAAGAAUUUAAAGAGAAAUCUGAAAGGGUUGUGCUGGCAUCGCCCGUAGCCACAAAAUUUUCCUUUCUCCGGCACAAGUUGUGGAAAUUUCCAAGCAAGUUGACGAGCCGUCUUCCAAGUUAAUGGGACGCUUGGCAAGCAAAAUCCAGUCUAAAAAUAAUGUAAUUUUUAAGGAGCAAAGCUGCACAUCGCCAGUUUUCCUUUUCCUCACAUUCUUCAUCUCCUUGACUUGAUUCGAGCGCAGUAGUGUGCAUUUGCAGUGGGGUGGUGAAAUCGUAAUCAUUGGUUGAAAAAAGCAAAUGAUGAAUGGAUGAGCUUAAAUUUCUUUUUAUUUAAAUUGAUCGUAUAUGAAUGGGUCUACAUAGACUUAACCGAGCCAACACCAAAAAGAGGACUACUUAAUUAGACUUACUCAUUUUUCAGUACAGAUCGAUACGAUCCAUGAUCACUUCUAAAACAAAGACACAACAAGCAAUCUUUGUUUUUGCGUCUUUGUUUUUGUCCAACUUUGAAAUACUCAUUUGACAUUUCGAGAUGUUGUGCCAUGAACGUUUCUCCGCUUUUGGACCGCUCCCAUAUAUGAUGAUGGAGGCUUGCUUCACAUCCGUCGUUCUUACUUCAUUUCACUAGUAGGCCUCUAUAUAAUUUGCAGUGUUCUGAUUACUUAAAAACCCACUUAUCAUAUUAUUUAUUUGAUUGGAUUGAUGUAAUUCUUUAAUUAGUCGUUGCUGUGCGUUUGGAUCGCCAACUCUCGAUACCAAGUAAAGCAAAAUCUAUAUAUGUUUUACCAUUCUUAAACUCACAAAUCUAUUUCUUUUUAUUUCUUUGAUUGAGUGACGUAAUAUUGAUUAUUUGUUAGAUUAAUUGGGUAAUUUUAUCCCUCUAUAUCAUUUGCCCCAACGUUUUGUAAUGGGAACGAUGAACGAUGUGACACCAAGUAAAGCAAAAUAAACUGGUCUUUCUCAUUCUAAUUUCAGAUUCAUUUCUCUCUCCAAUUUGAAAAUGUUAUUGCCGUUGUACUCUUAUUGCACUUCUUAAUUAACUCUUUUGAAUAUUUUGCAUUCCUUUCAAUUAUUGAUUUAACGCGAUCUUCAAUUGUUUUACGUUUUCAAUUAACGAAGAUCUAAUUCUAUGGUUUGCAUGAAAAAAUUCUUGUCUUUCUUUUUUCAACUUUUUAUAUUUCUUUUUUUUUUGGGGGGGGGGGGGGGGAAGAGUUCAUUUGAGUAAAUAAAAACUUACUGUCUAAUUCAUUUUCUUUGUGCUUUUCUUCUAUCUUUUUUAAAGCGCUAUGCUUGGUUAUUUACUUGAUGGAAAUGCUCUUAUUUGCAUGAACGCGAAAUCCCUCUUUCCCUUUUUCCUUCUUUCUUUUCAUUUCUGAAGGCGUCCAUUGUUUGCUGUUUUGUUGACAUUUCAACUCUGUUUUAUGACCCAAAAAAAACUCUGUUUUCUUUUUUCUUUUUUCCCUUUGCUUUGUCGAACUCCAAAUGUUACAGCAAGUGCACAUCCGUCUACUUCAACAGUUGAAUCAUAUUAUUUAUAUCUGUGUUUUUUCUCUGUGUUUAUCUUUUUAUUCUAUUUGUUAUUAUUAUAAAAUUUUUUCUAAUGAGUGUUUCUCAUUUAUGUUUGAUUGUCAAGAGAAAAAUAUCAAUUUCAGUCCUUCUCAUAUAGUUCUUUUUUUUAAAAUUAAACAAACAUAUUUAGUUGUUAAUACUAUUCAAAGUCAAACAACAAAUAUUCAAAUUAUGCGUAAGAAAAUAUUAAAUUGCAUGUUGAGUUUGAGUUGGUGCAAGAACUAUUAAGAAAUCCAUUUUCUUAUUGGGAUCAAGAUCCAACAGACCGUGUAGUUUUCUGGACUGGUUUGUUUGGCUUUUUCGGUUUGGUCAAAGGAGAUGUCUGGUUGUUUGACUCCUAUACGUAGCCACACAAGAGAGAAAGCCAUUAAAGAAAUGGAGGGGUGAAAAGGUCUUUGUCAGAGUAAAGAAAACAAAGUAAAAUAUAGUUUUUUUUUUUGGCUUUCACGGGGGCUCGGAUACACGAGAAUUUUGUGGUGUGAAUUUUAUAUCCAAGUUGAGUUGUAGCACUUACUAGUAAUUUAGGUGUGAGAAAUAUUUGAAUGUGUCUAUGAUUGUAACUUUGAUUCUCUAAUUAUAAUGAAUUAUUUACUACCAGUUUUCUCUGUGGAGAAAGUAUCGAUACUCGGAUCGAAUCACGUAAUUCAUUCAUGUCUUUUAUUUUUGUCAUUUAUUUAUCUAGUAAUUUCAUCUUGAUUUAAAUUGCAAAAUCUUGUUAAUUUCCUCAUUAAUUUUAAAAUGGGAAGUUUUGUGUCCAUACAUUUUAAAGAGAUUGUGUGGUCUUUAUACAUGCAAUGCACGUGACAUUCUACUAGUAAUUUGAAGAGGGAUAAUUACGACAAAAGUCUUAAACUUAUUGUUCGAAUGUCAAUUUAGUUCAAAUUUUUUUAAUUUAGCCAAUUUAAUCUUAAAUUUUUUGAUGAUUUGUCACUGUAAUCAUGCCGACCAGUUUUGGUCGAUAAUUGCUAACGUGGACAAAGAUGGUCUUACAUGGUAUAAUUGACGUUGAUGUAGAUAAUUUUUCUCUUUUUCAUGAUAUUUUCAUUUAUUUUUUAUUUUUAUUUUUUUCUUCCCUUGCUGGUUGUCAUGGCCAACAAUCAGCCAUAGUUGAGGGAUGGUAAGGGCAAGCCUCACCUAAGGCCCAUGAGAUCAGCCCUUGUGCGACCCUUGCUUAACGCUAGUUGCCAGCGAUUGCCAAGGCCCAACAACUGGCAAGCAAGAAGGAAAUAAAUAAAUAAAAAGAAAAAAUGAAAAUAAACUAUAGAUAUUUAAAAAAAAUGCAAAAAGUUGAUGACAUUAGUGUUGGUUGUGCCACAUUGCUGGCCAAAAUUAGUUGAAAGAACUAUAUUAGCAAAUCAUUAAAAGAUUUAUGAAUAAAUUGGCCAAAUUGAAGUAUUUAUGAUUAAAUUGGUAUCCGUAUAAUAUAUUUAACACUUUUUUUUUUUUUUGAAAUCUGUAUGGAUUAUGGCUCAAAGUUAGUUUCCACUAUUUUGAAAUUCGACCCACGAAUUACAAGUAAUCAUGCGCAAUAUUAAGCAAAGUCCAAAUCGGGCUCUUGUCAACAAGAUCAUGAGUAACGCAAGAAAUAUAUACUAACUUCUCAAAAAAUUUCUUUUUCUUAUUGAAGAUGAAGUCUAUGUUGAUGUCAGAAAAGUGCUCAUAGUUUCUUGCAUACAAAUAUUAUGUUGUUGAAUUUGGUCUGGUGUGCAUAGUUAGUGCGCUUAAUAUGUACGAAACUUGCAAGAGACACAAAGUGCACCGAGAGCCACAAUUCAAGAGAUUCGAGAGUUUAAGAAAAUUCCUCUCUUGCAAACGAUUUUUGUGGGUUCCUGCUGCAUUUAAAAAAAAAAAAAAACACUUAUAAGUGAGUAUGACUAACUGUAACUUUAUCAUCCUUGAUUAUUGUGGAUUUAUCUCUUUGAUCUCUCCUGGUAGACUAGGCAUAUAAUCAAACCACAUAAAUCUGUUAUUUUUUGGAUUUUAUCUAUGCAAUUUAUAUCUUAUUUUGGGUAUGCGUGUUUCAUAGAAAUCUUCUCGAUGGAAGAAUAUAUUUUCGCAAAAAAUCAUUUUCUAAGGAAAUUGCUUGUCUUUAGUUAUUUGAUGGGAUUCUUGAAGGCGAGACAAAAUUAUUUUCAAUGUUUAAACCUAACUUUAAGAAAUUAAAUGUUAUAAUUAUGGUUUGCUCUAGGGAUGUGCAUGGUCCGGGUGGGCGGUUCCCAACCUAGAACCGGGAACUGCCCGCUAAGGACCGGUUCCAAAAAAUUGGAACCGGGAUCCACCUGGGAACUGGACCGCCGGUCCGGUCCGGUUCCCGGGUAGAUCCAUGGAACCGAUUUUGACGCGAAACAAUUUUAGUUUUCAACAUAGAACGGUCGCGAAACAAUUUUUCGCGGCUGUGGCGGGUGGCAGUCAACGCGAGGGGGCGAACAGCAGCGGCGGAGGAGCAACGGCGGUGGCGUCGACGCUCAGGGAGGAAUUGAAAUGGCGAUAGGAUUAGGAGCAACCGAGGAAGAGACAAAGAGAGAGAGAGAACCAAAGACGAAGGGAGUGAGGCGAUGAGAUCUAAUAUAGGAUUUCUUUUAGUAAUUUUUUUUUGUAAUAUUAAAAAGGUUCCGAUCCGGUCCGGGUGGGCGGAUCCGCCCAUGGAACCGGGAACCGGACCGGUACCUACCGGUUCCGAAAAAUUGGAACUGAAAACCGGACUGGUUCCCUCAAGAACUGCCGGUUCUGGAUAGUUCCGGUCCAGUUUCGGGCGGUCCGGGCGAUUCUCGGGUAUUUUGCACACCCCUAGUUUGCUCCUAAUAUGCGAUACCAAAGUGAUAUCCAAAUCAUUGUCUAAAAUAUUACUAAUGUUUGGACUAUAAAAUUUUAUGGAUUUUUAUUAUCAAAAUAAUGCAACCUAAAAAAAGUACGCCCAAGAAGAAAAUGCAAAUAAUUAACAAAAUUAAUUGAUCAAUACUCCUUCGAACCAAAAAAAAAAAAAAUCAAUAAGUGCUCAUAAAAAUUUACGUGAAAAUAGAUUUCCAUUCCAAAAAAUUAAUCAAAGAGGGAUACACAAUAAAAAUUCAAACUGGAAAGAAAAAAAAAAAAGAAGAGGAAAAAGAAAAGUCAUCGUAAAAUUAAAGACAAGAACAUCCUAAAUUGACAUUUCCACGGACACCUCUUGUAUUAUCCUUCUAAAAUAUGUAUCAUACAGCCGAGUGACAAAUAACCAAAUAACAAUUUAGUCUACAGAGAUGCAACAAAUUGAGCAAUUGAAGCUAAUUCUAAUAUCAAUUUGAAGAGGAGAUGAAACAGUUUUGAGAGUUUGCUGUGAAGAAAAGAAAGGAUAGAGAGUGAAGACUAGUAGGGACAGAGGGAGAACAGGGGACGCUUGUAGAAAAUGAGUUUGAAAAAACCGAUUUCUUCUUUUUAGGAUAGAGAAGUCAUUUUCGUGGAUGUUGAGUAUUGUUUUUUUUUUCUUGCCUGAAAAGUUUUUUCAAUAGAUUGUCCAUUUUCAACAAAUCAAACGUGUUGACCUUUAGAAAAUCAUUUCAUGGAAGUCCUUUCCAUAAAAACAAUGACACCCUCCAAAUUGCUUCGAUUCUUCACAUUUUCACGCUAGUCAAAACAGUUCGAUCUUUCAAACCAGUUCAUUAAAAGGCGACGGCACGGUAAGGGAAGAUCCAUUUACAUCGACAUCUUAGAGAGGCACAGAAUGAAACUUUAUACCAAUACAGCAGAGAACAUAUCCUCCGGAAGAAUAACAGAGCAAUCGCACCCAAAAGUGCAGUAAGCGGGAAACUACUGGCUUCUGUUUCCCCACCAUUGCUACCAGAAAACAACCCCAUGCCCCUUCUUAUACGAGACACGUUUGCACUCAAAUGUCCUUUGUAUCAUAGCGGCAAUGCAAUGACAAACGGAAAACAACUUUCAAAAGGACGAGGCAAAAUAAGACUAUGCCGAUGAAAAUAAGUACAGAAAGCUGAAUCAUUCGCGAGAAACCACGACCACCUGUUUCCCGAAGUUGCGACCAGAGAACACCCUGACAAGAGCUGAUGGACCAUUCUCGAGCCCUUCUGCGAUGUCUUCCAUGUACACAAUCUUCCCCUCUUUAAUCUGAGGCAAUGCCGUCUCGAGGAACUUCGGGUAGAGAUGAUAGUAAUCAGUUACCACGAAACCUUCCAUCCGAACCCGCUUCAGGAUAAGGUUCAUCAAGUUGUGUAUGCCUUCGGGCUGCUCAAGAUUGUACUGUGAGAUCAUUCCGCAUAAUGUGAUUCGGCCAUGAAGUUUCAUGUUGAGCAGCACGGCAUCAAGCAUCUUUCCGCCGACAUUGUCGAAGUAGAUAUCGAUCCCCUCAGGGAAGCAUCUAAACAUUCAAGACAGAAAAGUCAACUCUAGUCAGCUUUGGAAUGGGUACAUAUUGAAUAUUUUGUACAUAAGUAAUUUGCUCAAUCAUCGUUACUAUAUUCCUGGUUCACCUUUUCAGUGCUGCAUCCAGAUCCAGUUCCUCCUUGUAGUUGAAAGCAUCAUCGAAUCCAAACUUGUUCUUCAGUAAAUCAACUUUUUUUCCCAAACAUAACAGCAAGCGGACAUUUUAAGUAAAGAUAAAAUCGGGAAGAGACUAUUAAGCAAUUACUAUUCAAGGAAAAACUAGACAAAUGUGAGAUGAUUACCUUCUCUUUGCUACCGGCGCUGCCAACAACAUAACAACCAAACAACUUUGCAAACUGGCCGACAAGCUGACCCACAGCUCCCGACGCCGCCGAUAUGAAAACAGUAUCUCCUUUCUUGGGAGAGCAUACCUCGAAAAACCCAGCAUAAGCCGUCAUACUUGGCAUACCUGGAAAGUUUGGAUUUAUACAAAUUAGACAAGUUUCAAGAUUUGCUGAAGCAUAGGAGUGUAGUGCCAUGGCAAAUCUCAAAUGAUCCGAUUUAAUUGACCGAAGGUGAUGGCCCUGACAAAUGGAUGAGAAACAAUCAAUUUACACGCUUCUCUCAACACGAAAGAGCUGUACAGUGCUCCAUUGUUGAGAUAAUUCAACGAGGGCAUACGGCACUUAAACAAGGAAGAUCCGCCCAAGUAAAAUUCAAAGGAAGCACGCUUUUUCCUUGCAUAGCUGGAGGCUGUCCGUACUUGAGAACCAAACAGACAGAACAAAGUAUCUUAACGAUUCGAUGCUCCUCAUUAUUUAACACUGAAAGAGAUAUCGCACCAGAUGAUUAAAGAGCAUACCUAGAAGACCGGUGUAGUAAGACAGAGGAACAUCGGUGUGUUCGAUCUUAAAGCAAGUCUCUGGCGUAGUAAUUAGACUAUACUCCUCCCAUCUGGUGAUGCCCCAAACCAAGUCGCCUUUCUUGAAGUUUGGGUGCCCAGAUUCCAAAACUCUAGCUACCCCAUAUCCAGGAACAGGCUGCAUCAUGGUUUUAGAUUCUUCAGAAUAUAAGUGGAACUACAAAUAGCAAACUCGAAUAGACUUUGAGCGUACAAGAAGGAAAGAGUAUGCUUCCUUUGACUCUACUUGUUGAAUGUAAUUGUCACAAAUUUGAGUUUGGUUUAUGGGUGCGAGUUCAUAAAUUACUGUUAGCAUCAUGUGUCGAGUAAACGUGACGAGAGAGAUGGCGGUACUUACAGAGCCGAGCUGAGUGGAGAACUUGAUGAGGUGGAGAUUGUAGGGAUCGCAGGCCAGGUACAAGUUCUUCACCACGAUGGCCCCCGAAUCCUUGUCGGCCUUCGGUCUCUCCGAGCUCGUCCUCACUUCCAAGUGGGUCUCUUUCAGGGAACCUUGUACCUUCUCUCUGUAAAUCACCUGUUUGUUCCUCAUAACUUCCGCUGAAGCGUUGUUGUUCUCCUUCUCCAUUCUCUCUCUCUCUCUCUCUCUCUCUCUCUCUCUCUGGAUUUGAUCGGUGAGACGCAUGGCCAAAUACUUUAUAGGGAAGAUGGGUGAUAAAAGAUGGGUGAUGAAAUAUGCAGUCGCCGGUGACGUGUGCCCGUGUGUCAUCCGUGGAAUAGUAUUCCAAUUGGGAGACCAUUUCAAAGAAAUGGGCAACCGGUUGAAAUCUAAACAAUAUAUUAUUAUAUUUGCUAAUCUUAAUUAAUUCAACAAGGAAACUAGAUAAAAAAAAAAAACAAUACAUACGAUGAAAUGAAGGUUUUGUUUUCUUAUUUUAUUUAAGGAAUAAUAUUACCAUCGUUCCUUUAUUUUUAUCAAAAAAAUCAAAAUCAAAAUCAUCCUUCUUUCUUUUAUUAUUAUUUUUUAAAAACGUCUCUCGAGUUUUUAGAAAAUGUCAAUGUACAGUCCUUCCAUUAUAAUUUUUCCCUUACUCGUCGAUUUUUGUUGACAUGGAUUAGAGAAUUAAUAAUAUAGAUGCUAGUGAAUACAUGUGUCACACUGAAAUACAUAUGUCAUGUCAUGAUUUUUUGAAAUUUAUUAUAAGUCAAAAAGGCACCACAUUAAUAUAUAUAUAUAUAUAUAUAUAUAUAUAUAUAUAUAUAUAUAUAUAAAACCAAAAUUGAGAGAGAAAAACAGAUGGAGGAUCAUCAUCGUAGCCAGAAGCUCAAGCUCUAAGCUUGUAGCAACCAUGGUCACAGUGGCCACAACCACUAGAGUUUCGAAUUGUGAAUUUUGAGAGCAUGGCUACUCGAGAAAAGCUCAUGGUCAUGGUGGCUCAAUUGGUGGUCGUAAAUGGUUACAAAUCAUAGUUUUUGUGUUUAUUAUGGAUGUUUUGUAGGUUUUCUUCAAGUUUAUCGUUUAUGUUAUUUUAUUUUUAUUAUACUCAAAUUUAAGAAAUUUUACUUCGAGGGAUUAAAGGAAAUCCCGAUAACUAAGAUUUCAUUCCAAAUUUCCCAAAGAAACAAGAUGACCCAUUUAUCUUGUUCCCUCUACUUAUACUAUUAACUUAUUCGCUCUUUCAAUGAACAUUUUAUAGCACUUUAUGCUUCAUAUUUGAUGAAGUGGCAUGUCACAUAAUGCUUAAGCAUGUAUAAAUUACUUCACCUUUCACCUGCCCUUAAAACCUACCUUAACACUUUUUCUUUGGAAGAAGUACAUCCCAGGUGUCAAAGCUUGACUCAAAAGGACACUUAAAUUCCAAAAAUUAGGAAAGUGAUACUUAAGUGUCAUCUCUGGUAAACCCGCCGAAAAUCUUACGUGAUAAUUUUUUAUUAUUUUUCUUGCCUACAUGGCUUGUCAAAGAGUUGACUUAGCAAAGAAAUGCAAAAACGACGUCGUUUUAAUGUGAAUUUGAAUUUGAAUAUAAAAUUUAAUUAAAUUAAACUAUAAAAAUUAAUUAAAAAUAAAUAAAAAAUUUUUAAAAAAGGGAGGGAUGAAGAAGGUGGCUGAGGGCUGAGCCCUCUGCCACUGCCUCCCUAUCGUCGCAGGGAAGGGCUAGCGAAGGUGGGGGGAGGGUUGGCUAGGGCCCAACGACCCUGGUUGAUCAAUGACGAGGGCUUGCGAGCCCUCGCCUAGAUCUGGGGUGAGGGUCGCAACCCUCCCCCAAAUCUGACAAGGGUAGGCGACUCUCGCUUGAAUAGGCCAAGGGCCGCUGCUAGCUAGGGGCGCCCCAACGGGCAACCAUUGUUUGCUGUUUUGUUGAAAUCCAAAUGUUACAAUAAGUGCACAUCCGUCUACUUCAAUAAUUGAAUCAUAUUAUUUAUAUUUGUAUUUUUUCUUUGUGUUUAUCUUUAUAUUCUAUUUGUUAUUAUUAUAUAAUUUUUUCAACUGAGUGUUUCUUAUUUAUGUUUGAUUGUCAAGAGAAAAAUAUCAUUUCAGUCCUUCUCAUAUAGUUCUUUAUUUAAAAUUAAACAAAUAUAUUUAGUUGUUAAUACCAUUCAAAGUCAAACAAAAAUAUUCAAAUUAUGCGUAAGAAAAUAUUAAAUUGUAUCUUGCGUUUGAGUUGGUGAAAGAAAUAUUAAGAAAUCCAUUUUCUUAUUGGGAUCAGGAUCCAUCAGACCAUGUAGUUUUCUGGACUGGUUUGUUUGGCUUUUUCGGUUUGGUCAAAGGAGACGUCUGGUUGUUUGACUCCUACACGCAGCGACACAAGAGAGAAAGCCAUUAAAGAAAUGGAGGGGGUGAAAGGGUCUUUGUCAGAGUAAGAAAACAAAGUAAAAUAUAGUUUUUUUUUUCUUUCACGAGGGCUCAGGUACACAAGAAUUUUGUUGUGUGACUUUUAUAUCCAAGUCGAGUUGUCGCACUUACUAAUAAUUUAGGUGUGGGAAAUAUUAGAGCAUGUUCAUGAUCGUAACUUUGAUUCUCCGAUUUUAUAAUGAAUUAUUUACUGUUGAUUCUUCUUGUGAAGAAAGUACUGAUACUCAAACCGAAUCAUCUAAUUCAUUCAUGUCUUUUAUUUUUCUUGUUUAUUUCUUUGGUAAUUUCACAUUGAUUUAAAUUGCAAAAUCUUGUUAGUUUCCUCAUUAAUUUUACAAUGGGAAGUUUGCUGUCUAUACAUUUUAAGAGAUUGCGUGGUCUUUAUACAUGCAAUGCACGUAACAUUCUACUAGCAAUUUGAAUACGGAUCAUUACUAGAAAAGUCUUAAACUUAUUAUUCAAAUGGCAAUUUAGUUCAAAACUUUUUAAUUUAGCCAAAUUAAUCCUAAUUUUUUUUGACAAUUUGUCAAUGUAAUCAUACCGACCAAUUUUGGUCGGUAAUUGCUGACGUGGACAAAAAUUGUCUUAUGUGGCAUAGUCGAUACUGAUGUAAAGAACUUUUUUUUGUGAUAUUUUAAUUUUUUUAAUUUUCUUUUUCCCCCCUCUUCCUUUGCCGGUUGCCAUGGCCAAUAAUCAGCCAUAGUCGAGGGCUGGUGAGGGCAAGCCUCACAUGAGGCCCAUGAGAUCAGCCCUUGUUCGACCCUUGCUUGUCGCUUGCUAGCAAUUGCCAAGGCCUGACAACUGGCAAGCAAGAAGGAAAUAAAAAAAGAAAGAAAAUAAAAAAGGAAAAAUUCAAAUAAAGUAUAUAUAUUUAGAAAAAUAUAAAAAAUGCAAAAAGUUGAUUACAUUAGUGUUGGCUAUGCCACAUUACUGGCCAAAAUUAGCUAGAAGAAUUAUAUUAGCAAAUCAUCAAAAAAAAAAUUAUGAAUAAAUUGGCUAAAUUGAAGUAUUUAUGAUUGAAUUGGUAUCCGUAUAAUAUAUUUAACAUUUUUUUUUGGAAAUUUGUAUGGAUUAUGGCUCAAAGUUAGUUCCUACUAUUUCUAAAUUUGACCCACGGAUUACAAGUAAUCAUGCUCAAUAUUAAGGAAAGUCCAAAUCGGACUCUUGUCAACAAGAUCAUGAAUAACAAGAUCAUGAGUAACGCAAAAAAUAUAUAUUAACUUCUCAAAAAAUUUCUUUUUUCUUAUUGAAGAUGAAGUCUAUGUUGAUGUACUUACCAAAAAAAAAAGAGUCUAUGUUGAUGUCUGAAAAGUGCUCAUAGUUUCUUGCAUACAAAUAUUAUGUUGUUGAAUUUGGUUGGGUGUGCAUAGUUAGUGCGCUUAGUAUGUACGACACUUGCAAGAGACACAAAGUGCACCAAGAACCACAAUCCAAGAGAUUCGAGAGUAUAAGAAAAUUCCUCUUUUGCAAACGAUUUUUGUGGGUUCCUCCUGAAUUAAAAAAAAAAAAACUUAUAAGUGAGUAUGACUGAGUAAUUGUAACUUUAUCCUCCUUGAUUAUUGUGGAGUUAUCUUGUUGAUUUCUCAUGUUAGAUUUGACAUAUAAUCAAAUCAUGUAAAUCUGUUAUUUUUCGAUUUUAUCUAUGAAAUUUAUAUCUUAAUUAGGGUAUGCGUGUUUCAUAGAAAUCUUCUCGAUGGAAGAAUAUAUUUUUGCAAAAAUCAUUUUCUAAGGAAAUAGCUUGUCAUUAGUUAUUUGAUGGUGUUCUUGAAGGCGAGACAUAAUUAUUUUUGAUGUUUUAAACCUAACUUUAAUAAAUUAAGCUCAAUGUUAUAAUUAUGGUUUGCUCCUAAUAUGAGAUACUAAAGUGAUAUCCAAAUCAUUGUCUAAAAUAUUACUAAUGUUUGGAAGAUAAUUUUAUGGAUUUUUAUUAUCAAAAUAAUGCAACCUGAAAAAGGACGCCCAAGAAGAAAAUGCAAAUAAUUAACAAACUUAAUCUAUCAGUACUCUUUCGAAUACCAACAAAAAAAAAAAAAAAAAUCAAUCAGUGCUCAUAAAACUUUACGUGAAAAUAGAUCUCCAUUCCAAAAAAUUAAUCAAAGAGGGAUACACAAUAAAAGUCCAAUCUGGAAAAGAAAAAAAAAAGGAAAAAGAAGAGUCAUCAUAAAAUUAAAGACAAAAACAUCCUAAAUUGGCAUUUCCACGGACACUUCAUGUAUCAUCCUUCUAAAAUAUGCAUCAUACAGCCGAGUGACGAAUAACCAAAUAACAAUUUAGUCUGACAGAGAUGCAACAAAUUGAGCAAUUGAAGCUAAUUCUAGUACCAAUCUGAAGAGGAGAUGAAACAGUUUUGAGAGUUUGCUGUGAAGAAAAGAAAGGAUGGAGAGUGAAGACUAGUAGGGACAGAGGGAGAACAGAGCACGCUUGUAGAAAAUGAGUCUGAAAAAACCGAUUUCUUCUUUUUAGGAUAGAGAAGUCAAUUUCCUGGAUGUUGAGUAUUGUUUUUUUUUUCUUGCCUGAAAAGUUUUUUCAAUAGAUUAUCCACUUUCAACAAAUCAAACGUAUUGAUCUUUAAAAAAUCAUUUCAUGGAAGUCCUUUCCUUAAAAACAAUGACACCCUCCAAAUUGCUUUGAUUCUUCACAUUUUCGCGCUAGUCAAAACAGUUUGAUCUUUCAAACCAGUUCAUUUAAAGGCGACGGCACGGUAAAGGAAGAUCCAUUUACAUCGACAUCUUAGAGAGUAAUAGAAUGAAAUUUUAUACCAAUAGAUUCAGCAGAGAAGAUAUCCUCCGAAAGAAUAACAGAGCAUUCGCACCCAAAAGUGCAGUAAGCGGGAAACUACUAGCUUCUGUUUCCCCACCAUUGCAACCAGAAAACAACCCCAUGCCCCUUCUUAUACAAGACACAUUUCCACUCAAAUGUACUUUGUAUCAUAGCGGCAAUGUAAUGACAAACGGAAAACAACUCCUUUCGAAAGCACGAGGCAAAAUGAGACUAUGUUGAUGAAAAAAAGUACAGAAAGCUUACUCAUUUGCGAGAAACCACGACCACCUGUUUCCCGAUGUUGCGACCGGAGAACACCCCAACAAGAGCUGCUGGACCAUUCUCGAGCCCUUCCGCGAUGUCUUCCGUGUAUGCAAUCUUCCCCUCUCUGAUCUGAGGCAAUACCAUCUCCAGGAACUUCGGGUAGAGAUGAUAGAAAUCGGACACCGAGAAACCUUCCAUCCGAACCCGCUUCCAGAUAAGGUUUAUCAAGUUGUGUACGCCUUCGUGCUGCUCGAGGUUGUACUGUGAGAUCAUUCCGCAUACUGUGAUUCGGCCAUGAAGUUUCAUAUUGGGCAGCACGGCAUCAAGCAUCUUUCCGCCGACAUUUUCGAAGUAGAUAUCGAUCCCCUCAGGGAAGCAUCUAAACAUUCAAGACAGAAAAAAGUCAACUCUAGUCGGCUUUGGAAUGGGUACAUAUUGAAUAUUUUGCACAUAAGUAAUGUGCUCAAUCAUCGUUACUUUAUUCUUGAUUCACCUUUUCAGUGCUGCAUCCAGAUCCAGUUCCUCCUUGUAGUUGAAAGCAUCAUCGAAUCCAAACUUGUUCUUCAGCAAAUCAACCUUUUUCCCAAACAUAACAGCAAGCGAGUAUUUUAAGUAAAGAUAAAAUCGGGAAGAGACUAUUAAGCAAUUACUAUCCAAGGAAAAACUAGACAAAUGUGAGAUGAUUACCUUCUCUUUUCUACCGGCGCUGCCAACAACAUAACAACCAAACAACUUUGCAAACUGGCCGACAAGCUGACCAACAGCUCCUGAUGCCGCCGAUAUGAAAACAGUAUCUCCUUUCUUGGGAGAGCAUACCUCGAAAAACCCAGCAUAAGCCGUCAUACCUGGCAUACCUGGAAAGUUUGGAUUUAUACAAAUUAGACGAGUUUCAAGAUUUGCUUAAGCAUAGGAGGAGGAGUGUAAUGCCAUGGCAAAUCUCAAAUGAUCCGAUUUAAUUGACCGAAGGUGAUGCCCCUGACAAAUGGAUGAGAAACAAUCAAUUUACACGCUUCUCUCAACACGAAAGAGCUGUACAGUGCUCCAUUGUUGAGAUAACUCAACGAGGGCAUAUGGCGCUUAAACAAGGAAGAUCCCCCCCAAGUAAAAUUCAAAGGAAGCACGCUUUUUCCUUGCAUAGCUGGAGGCUGUCCGUACUUGAGAACCAAACAGACAGAACAAAGUAUCUUAACGAUUCAAUGCUCCUCAUUAUUUAACUCUGAAAGAGAUAUCGCACCAAAUGAUUAAAGAGCAUACCCAGAAGGCCGGUGUAGUAAGACAGAGGAACAUCGGUGUGUUCGAUCUUAAAGCAAGUCUCUGGCACAGUAAUUAGACUAUACUCCUCCCAUCUAGUGAUGCCCCAAACCAAGUCGCCUUUCUUGAAGUUUGGAUGCCCAGAUUCCAAAACUCUAGCUACUCCAUAUCCACGAACAGGCUGCAUCGUUGUGUUAGAUUCUUCAGAAUAUAAGCGCAACUACAAUUAGCAAACUCGAAUAGACUUUGAGCGAACAAGAAGGAAAGAGUAUGCUUCCUUUGAAUCUUACUUGUUGAAUGUAAUUGUCACAAAUUUGAGUUUGGUUUAUGCAUGCGAGUUCAUAACUUACUGUUAGCAUCAUGUGUCGAGUAAAUGUAACAAGAGAGAUGGCGGUACUUACAGAGCCGAGCUGAGUGGAGAACCUGAUGAGGUUGAGAUUGUAGGGAUCGCAGGCCAGGUACAAGUUCUUCACCAUGAUGGCCCCCGAAUCCUUGUCGGCCUUCGGUCUCUCCGAGCUCGUCCUCACUUCCAAGUGGGUCUCCUUCAGGGAACCUUGUACCUUCUCUCUGUAUAUCACCUGUUUGUUGCUCAUAACUUCCACUGAAGCAUUGCUGUUCUCCUUCUCCAUUCUCUCUCUCUCUCUCUCUCUCUCUCUCUCUNNNNNNNNNNNNNNNNNNNNNNNNNNNNNNNNNNNNNNNNNNNNNNNNNNNNNNNNNNNNNNNNNNNNNNNNNNNNNNNNNNNNNNNNNNNNNNNNNNNNNNNNNNNNNNNNNNNNNNNNNNNNNNNNNNNNNNNNNNNNNNNNNNNNNNNNNNNNNNNNNNNNNNNNNNNNNNNNNNNNNNNNNNNNNNNNNNNNNNNNNNNNNNNNNNNNNNNNNNNNUAAACAAUAUAUUAUUAUAUUUGCUAAUCUUAGUUAAUUCAACAAGGAAACUAGAUAAUAAAAAAAAAAAAAAACGAUAGAUGCGAUGAAAUGAAGGUUUUGUUUUCUUAUUUUAUUUAAGGAAUAAUAUAACCAUCGUUCCUUUAUUUUUGUCCGAAAAUCAAAAUCAAAAUCAUCCUUCUUUCUUUCUCUUUAAGAAAGAAAAAAAAAACGUCCCUCUACUUUUUAGAAAAUGUUGACGUGCGGUCCUUCCAUUGUAAUGUUUCCCUUACUGAUCGAUUUUUGUUGACAUGGAUUCAAAAUUAAUGAUAUAGACGCUAGUGAAUAUACGUGUCACCCUGAAAUAUAUGUCAUGUCAUGAUUUAUUGAAAAUUAUUAUAAGUAAAAAAGGCACCACAUCAAAUAAUAUUAAACAACAGAAAAACCAAAGUUGAGAGAGAGAAAGAGAUGGAGGAUCAUCGUCGUAGCCUUGAGCUCAAGCUCUAAGCUUGCAACAACCAUGGUCGCGACGGCCACAACCACUAGAGUUUCAAAUUGUGAAGCUCGAGAUCAUGGCUGCUCAAGAUAAGCUCACGGUCAUGUUGGCUCAAUUGGUGGUCGUAAAUGGUUACAAAUCAUAGCUUUUGUAUUAUUAUGGAUGUUUUGUGGGUUUUCUUCAAGUUUAUCAUUUCUAUUAUUUUAUUUUUAUUAUACUCAAAUUUAAGAAAUUUUACUUUGAGGGAUUAAAGGAAAUCCGAGAUUUCACUCCAAAUUUCCCAAAGAAAUAGGAUGAACAAUUUAUCUUGUUCCCUUUACUUGUACUAUUAACUUAUUUGUUAUUUCAAAGAACUUUUUAUAACACUUUAUGCUUCAUAUUUGAUGAAGUGGCACGUCACAUAAUGCUCAAGCAUGUAUAAAUUACUCCACCUUUCACCUGCCCUUAAAACCUACCUUAAUACUUUUUCUUUAAAAAAAGUACACCCCAAGUGUUAAAAUUUGGCAUAAAAUGACAUUUUAGUGCCAAAAAUUAAGAAAAUGCCAUUUUUUGAAAUGUGAGAUUGCCAUCUACGAUUAACCUUGCCAGCAAUCCUACAUGGCAAUUUUUUAUUAUUUUUCUUGCCUACAUGGCUCACCGGAGAGCAGACUCAAUAAAGAAACGCAAAAAUGACAUCAUUUUGACGCGGAUUUGAAUUUUAAUAUAAAAUUUAAUUUAAUGAAUCUAUAAAUAAAUUAUAUAUAUAUAUAUAUAUAUAUAUAUAUAUAUAAGGGGGUGAAAAGAAGAAGGUAGCUGAAGGUUGAGCCCUUACUGCCGCCUUCUCCCUGCCGUCACUUGGAACAGCCAACAAAAGUGGGAGUAGGGUUGGCUGGGAUCGCCGGGCCUUGGCUAGGGGUUAGCGACCCCGACUGACCCUUGCCCAAAUCUUUUGCAAGGGUCGCCACCCUUCCCCAGAUCUGGCGAGAGUCUAUAGCUCUCACAUGCAUAUACGGCGAGGGUCACCGNNNNNNNNNNNNNNNNNNNNNNNNNNNNNNNNNNNNNNNNNNNNNNNNNNNNNNNNNNNNNNNNNNNNNNNNNNNNNNNNNNNNNNNNNNNNNNNNNNNNAAAGGAUAGGAAUUUGCUAAACAUUCUCUUUAUAUUUCAAGAACCAUAAUUCUCUAGAAAUCUACAUGGAAGAAAAGGAAGUGCCAGAUACCUGGAGUGUCAAAACUUGGCACAGGGGGAUACUGAAGUGCCAAAAUUGGAGCAAAAUUGAUCACUUAGGGCGCGUUUGAUUGUGUUUCUGUUUAAAAAUUGUUCCAGGGAACAGAAAUAGAAAAAAGUAUUUCUGUUCCGGGGAACAAUUUUUGAACAAAAAUACGCGUUUGGUAAACUUGUUCCGGGAAUAAAAAAUAAACAGAAACAUGUUUGGUAAAUUUGGAUAAUUUUUUUAUUUCUUUUAUUUUUUCUAUUUUUUUCUUAUUUUUCCUUUUUUUCUUUUUUCUUUUUCAUUUUUUUUUUCUUCUUUUGGCCGGUCGCCGGCCAAGGCCUUGGCCGGCGACCGGCCAAAAGAAGAAAAAAAAAAUGAAAAAGAAAAAAGAAAAAAAGGAAAAAUAAGAAAAAAAUAGAAAAAAUAAAAGAAAUAAAAAAAUUAUCCAAAUUUACCAAACAUGUUUCUGUUUAUUUUUUAUUCCCGGAACAAGUUUACCAAACGCGUAUUUUUGUUCAAAAAUUGUUCCCCGGAACAGAAAUACUUUUUUCUAUUUCUGUUCCCUGGAACAAUUUUUAAACAGAAACACAAUCAAACGCGCCCUAAGUGAUCAAUUUUGCUCCAAUUUUGGCACUUCAGUAUCCCCCUGUGCCAAGUUUUGACACUCCAGGUAUCUGGCACUUCUUUUUCUUUCAUGUAGAUUUCUAGAGAAUUAUGGUUCUUGAAAUAUAAAGAGAAUGUUUAGCAAAUUCCUAUCCUUUCCAGCAAUUAAAAAACCAUUUGCAUUUCUGAAAAUUACGUUAGAACUUUAGCUGAAGAAUUUUACCUUUUUUUUUGUCCUUUUUAGGAAGCUUUAGCCUUCUCUCUGACUCGUGAAGUGGAAAAACCGGAUCCGACCCCCAAAAAGAAAAAAUAAAAAGUGGAAAAACCGGCAACUCAAGUUUGUGGGUUACUCGAUUUAAAUUGUGCGAUGGAAGACAACCCAUCACUUGAUUGCGGAUAACGGUGCCGUUAUGCUCACUUUCCUCAUUCCAAUUCCAUUUCUCUCUUCAAUUUGUAAUUGUUAUUGUCGUUGUCCUCGGUGAAUUUUAAUUCUUACUUUUGCUUUUCCCUUGUUGAUAUAUUAUUCUGGACACUCUUCUCGCACUUCUUAAUUAACUCUUUUUGAAUUUUUGGCAUUCCUCUCAAUUAUUAAAUUAACUCUUUCUUCAAAAUUAUCAUACAUUUUCAAUUAACGAAAAUAUAUAUAUUUUUUGCAUGAAAAAAUUCUUGUCUUUUUUUCAAUUUUUGUUUUCUUUUGUUUGGAAGAGUUUAUUUGAGUAAAUAUAAUAUUAGCUACUUCAAACUUUAAAUUUGAUUACUUACUGUCCAAUUCAUUUUCUUCAUGCAUUUUUUCUGUCUCAUUUGAAGUGCUAUACUUGCUUUUUAUAUUCUUCUUCUUUCUUUCCUUUCUUUUCUAUACUUGAUUUUAUAAACUAAAGGGACUCGGUCAAACCCCAAAUGUUACACUAAUCAAAUAAUUUAUAUUUGUGUGUUUUCACUGUGUUGAUCUUUUCCUAUGUUCUAUUUGUUAUUAUUAUAUAUUUCUUUUCUAAUUAUUAUAUUUUUUUUUUCUAAUGAGUGUUUCUCAUUCGCAUAUGAUUAUCACAAGAAAAAAAAAUCAAUUUCAUUCCUUCUCAUAAGAGUCAAACAAUAAAUAUUCAAACCGUGUUUAAGGAAAUGUUAGAUUAUAUCUCGACUUGGGAACCAUGUGAGGAAUAUCAAGAAAUAUAUUUUCUUAUUGGGUUCGGAUUCAUCGGACGAUGUAGUUUGCUCGAUUGGCUUCCGACGAAGGAGCCACAAGGUUAUUGGCUUAUUCAGUUUUGGUCAAAGAAGAUGUGUGGUUGUUUGACUCCUAUGCGCAGCCGCACGACAGUGAGAGCCACUACAGGACAAAAUAAAGGGGUCGCAUAUUCUCUAAUUAUAUAUUUAUUUCGGGGGUAAAAAGAUUUUUGUCUGAGGAAACAGCCCGUGGGCUCUCGAGCAGAACGUAGACUUUGGGGGUGUUUGGUUCAGCUUUCCCAAGGGGCUUUGAGCCUCGAAAGCCCCUUGGGAAAAAUUAGAGGGUGUUUGGUUCGGCUUUCAAAUGCUCCUUGGUGAAAUGUUUGCCUUUGGAAUGCUGAAUGCCGAAUGCUGGGGGGGACCAGCUUUGAGCAUUGGGCAUUCUGGAGAUGCGAUAUUACUGUUCAUCGCGUCACUGUUCAUCGUCUCCUCCGCCGUUCGCCUUCUUCUUCGCCAUUCAUCUUCUUCUUUGCCAAAGGCAGCGCUCAGCCGCGAUCUGGCCGUCGAGAAGCCUCGCCUGAGGUCGCACAACCUUAGGCGAGGUGGCCUGAGGUCGGGCAACCUCAGGCGGCGUCGCCUGGUCUCGCGCUAGCCAGGCGACCAGGCGAGGCCAGAUCUGGCCAUUUGACGGCCAGAUCUGGCCCCUGCGACCUCCGGCGGCCAGAUCUGGUGGUUCGGCGACGGCCAGAUCUGGCCGUCCGGCGGUGGCUGGCGGUUGGCCGACAGUAGCCGACCGUCGGAAUUUCAUUUCAGACUUUAAAGAAAAUAAAAAAUAACAAAAGCUAAUUACAAAUGUAAAGUUUGCCAAACGGUGUUUAUGCUAAGUUGCAUUUCCAUGCUAAAAUUUACCAAACGGUGUAACAUUUCCGAAAGCCCCUUUCUCUCAAAGAUAUUUGCAUUUUCCCAAUGACAUUUCCCCAAAGCCGAACCAAAUGGGCCCCGCGCGAGGGAACGCUUCGAACGAGCAUCGGACACACGUGAAUUUUGUGCUUUGUUUUAUAUUCAAAUUGGGACGUAAGACUCAUGUAUAUUCUGGGUGUGGAAAAUAUUGAAACCUGUUCACGAUUGUAAUUCUAAUUUUUCAAUGAUAGUAGAUUAUCAGCUACUACCAACUCUCCCAAUACAGUAUGUACCUAGAUUUUUGACCGAAUAUUGUAAAGUUUAUGGUGUUUUUAAUUGUUCAUUGUUUUAUUUAUCUAGUGAUUUCGAGUUAAUUUAAAUUGUAAUAUCUUGUUAGUUUCUGUAUUAAUUUUACUAUGGAAAGUUCGGUGUCUAUACAUUACCCUUGACAUUCUACUUGUAAUCUAAAAAUGAAUAAUUACUAUAAAUUUUUAAACCUAUUAUUUGGAUAUCAAUUCAGUCAUUAAUUUUUUAAUUUAAUUAAUUUAGUUUUAAAUCUUUUGAUGAAUUGACAAUUUACUUAUUCCACCUAUAAUCGCUAACAUGGACAAAAUCAAACGUAUUGAUCUUUAAAAAAUCAUUUCAUGGAAGUCCUUUCCUUAAAAACAAUGACACCCUCCAGAUUGCUUUGGUUCUUCACAUUUUCGCGCUAGUCAAAACAGUGAUCUUUCAAACCAGUUCAUUUAAAGGCCACGGCACGGUAAAGGAAGAUCCAUUUACAUCGACGUCUUAGAGAGUAAUAGAAUGAAAUUUUAUACCAAUAGAUUCAGCAGAGAACAUGUCCUCCGAAAGAAUAACAGAGCAUUCGCACCCAAAAGUGCAGUAAGCGGGAAACUACUAGCUUCUGUUUCCCCACCAUUGCUACCAGAAAACAACCCCAUGCCCCUUCUUAUACGAGACACAUUUGCACUCAAAUGUCCUUUGUGUCAUAGCGGCAAUGCAAAGAGAAACGGAAAACGACUUUCAAAACCACGAGACAAGAUAAGACUAGGUCGAUGAAAAAAAAUGUACAGAAAGCUAAAUCAUUCGCGAGAAACCACGACCACUUGUUUCCCGAUGCUGCGACCAGAGAACACCCCGACAAGAGCUGCUGGACCGUUCUCGAGCCCUUCCGCGAUGUCUUCCAUGUACACAAUCUUCCCCUCUUUAAUCUGAGGCAAUACCGUCUCGAGGAACUUCGGGUAGAGAUGAUAGUAAUCAAACAUUGCAAAACCUUCCAUCCGAACCUGCUUCCAGAUAAGGUGCAUCAAGUUGUGUACGCCUUCGUGCUGCUCGAGGUUGUAUUGUGAGAUCAUUCCGCAUACUGUGAUUCGGCCAUGAGGUUUCAUGUUGAGCAGCACGGCAUCAAGCAUCUUUCCACCGACAUUUUCAAAGUAGAU
rnacentral:lncRNA from 1 species